GGGCAUUAUUGUAGUAGUAGUUGUUGUUGUUGUCGUCUGUCGUCGUAGCCGGCGCGAAUUGCUCCUGGCCAUGGCCUUCGAAUCUCCUAGUGAGCUCGGUAUUGGGACGGACGUUAUUGUAGUAGUAGUUGUUGUUGUUGUUGUCUGUUGUCGUAGCCGGCGUGAAUUGCUCCUGGCCAUGGCGAUAGAGACCAUAGCCACUACCGCUCAGGCUCUGGAGUGGAGGAAGAGUCGAAGGAUCUUCCAUUUUGACGGCAGGGGUCUCUUCGGGGAUGGGAGUGGCUUCCUUGGGGUCCUCGGGGCGUGUGGUCUUCAUGAAGAAUCGGCUUUCUCUAGCAUGGAUUUGGAACGAAGAGGAGGCAAGGAAGAGGAGGAAGACGAGGGAGAGUUGGUGGAGAAGGGAAGCCAUGAGUGCUAUGGAGAGGGAGAGGUGGUAGCUAGUGAUGGAUAUGAGUGGGUCUGGCACCACUCCUAUAUAUAUAUAUAUAAGGGGGGAUUUACCUGAAACAUAAAGGAGAAACAUGUACGAAGGGUGUCGUACGUGUUCAGCUUUACGUCUUGUCGCCGUGAAAUGAGAUGGCCGGGUGAUGAUGCGGGGAUUGUGGGACUGUGGGGCAAAAAUGAUGACAUUUUCAGCACGCUGCAUGUGCUCUCAUGGGACAUCCUCAACAAAAAGUCUUUGCAUUGGGGUACAAAAGACGAUGGACAGAGGGGUGCGUUCGUAUCAGCACUAAUGCAUCGAAUUUUAUCAGAACUUUAUAAUUAAGCAUGCUUGGGGUUUCUNNNNNNNNNNNNNNNNNNNNNNNNNNNNNNNNNNNNNNNNNNNNNNNNNNNNNNNNNNNNNNNNNNNAUUUUUAUUAAAAAAAUAAAAAUAAAAUAAAAUAAAAGAUGGACAAACCAUGCAUAUAGCCAUCUGUCUUUUAAUGACGAUAAUCAAGCAUUAUAUAGCACUCUAUCGUGCAAACCAUGCACUGCAGAAUAUUUUAGAAGAGUUGGGAGCUUUCGAACUAAAUCUGACCUAAAGUUUAAUUCAGCUGGAAACAAGAUUAUAACCAAAGCGGUGUAUUUGUGGUUGACAAAAUGCUAAGUAGGUGCCUCUGAUUUUUGACCUAUGUUUCUAUUCCUCUGUUUACAUUAGCACCGUGACUAGCGGAGGGUGGUUGGGCAUUGAAACUGGGUCGCAGCAAGGGAGCCCAUGGCAUCUUCUUUCCUUUAAAGUGGCGAGGAAGACAUUAUUAUUAUAGCUAUUAUUAUCGGAGUGGAAGACACAUGCAGCGGCAAUCACGUACCUUAGAGGUCCUGGAGAGGUGGCAAGGAAUUCUCUUGUCAGGGAGUGCUCGUAUGCCUUCGUCAUGAUAAACGAAGAUGGCAUAUAUAUAUAGUGGAGUAUUAGUCUUCAAAUGGAGUGCUAGCUGCAUUAAAGAAACAAAGCCACACCAUUUUGCAGGACAAUCGAACAAACCUUAUAAUAACACUUUUGAUGGACAUCUUGCUGUAUAUCCAGAUCCAUGUUUUGAUGGUAAACGUCCAUUCAUCAAAAAUUUCAUUCUGCCAGUCCCAGAGGCUUCAUGAGCUGCUGUACUGCAUGCAAAUAAGAACGAUAAAUGAUCUAUUAAAAAACUGUGGAAAAAAGCAGAACAGUGAAACUAAUAUACUGCUAAAUUACAGAAUUUUAAUUCUACCAUGUUUAGAAUUUUAAUAUAUAGGGCUAAGCCAUCACUGAUCAACCUAUUUAUUUUGCAGCAGUGCAGGGAGAAGUUUAAAUAUGAAACUUCCUUUGAAAACUUCCACUUAAAUAUUAUAGUAUGACCCUUGUUGGAAACUUGCAUGUCACGAGCUCACCACUCGCUCCAGGUUCCAGCCUUGGGGAUCGUCUCGUCCUCUCCACGGCGAGGCCGACCUGCGGAUUAGUUGGUUUGGCCGCGAUCGCAUCAAAAUUUGAUGGGUUCUAGAGACAACAAAUGCAACCCGAUGGUGGGAGGGGUCAUGAAUUUAGAGCCGAGCUUUGUGUCUAAAUUAUAUUUAAUUUUAUUUAAGCCUUAAGCCGAAUUUUUUUAAAAUUUGAUAUUUUCUAUGCCUAAAUUUGAUGGUUUGCAUGGCACCACAAAAAUUUUAGGAACAGAACCUGGGGUCUCGAAAGAUUGAUUGAUCUUCUUUCAUGACAUUGGCCGUUGGAUGGCACUUCGUAUAGUUCUCAAUGCACGCUAAACUUCUUCAUCUGCUUGCAUAGAUUUUGAAGCAACUAUAUUGCGAGAUCUAAUGGUGGAUUGAUGCAAAGGGAGGUGAGGCCUGUUUGCUUUGGAUUCCCAGCUCAUGUUAACCUGCUGUGUGAAUCUUCGUGGAUCCAGAUUAGGUAGAUCUAAAUUCUAAAUUAGCGUGCAUGGGGUUGAAAUUAUAGGCUACUAAUAGGAGGUUGAUAGCUCUUGGUAAUAGUGACCUAAUUUUUGGAUUUGGAAAGACCUAGGUUUUGGAAAAAGAUGGGUUCCCAUAGGCUUAAAUUAGGUUCUCUAGGGCCAGCGACAAGCCUAGCCUUGUCUCAUGGAAGAAAUUUCUGGAUAAAAUGUUGAAAUAAAAUGAACCUCCCUGUAAGCAAAAGUUUUUAUAAAGGUUGUCAUGAAGGUUGAUGUUAGUUUAGCAUUAUUCUUGUUCCUGAUUUUAGCCCCUAUCCUUUCCCUGGAUCCGACAAGCAUAAUUAUUGGCCCUUUACAAAUUUUUGAUCUUGAAAAUUCAACACAUUGGCCUUGACUUUGGCUGUAAAUCCAAUUGUUUAUGGAUCAUUUGAAGAUAAUAAACAUUUAGUACGACAAAUCUAAUUGGGUACGGUAGAAAAAGAAAGUUUACUAGGUGGAGCUAUUAAGAUUAAAUUUCUUAUAUAGAAUCUAUUAUUAUAUAUAUAAAAAAGAUACUUUUUCUUGUAAGAUUUGGACUAAGAGAAGCUUGGUUGAUACAGGGUUAUGCUUAAAUGAAUAGCCUAAUCAACAAAUCCUACAAUAUUUUCAGUCCAAUCCUGUAGGGAUAGCCAACUAGAACCUCAAGCGAUUCGGUGGUUCAUCAAUCAUAUUCCUUGUUAACGCUAAUAUUGUGAAUUGUUAGCGUGUUUAUAUCUUUAGUACAUUUUUUUGAUCGUUUAAAUUACAUGAUUCUUUAUCAAUGGCAUGGUUGGAGCCAUUUGUGAUUAGUUUGGAACAUUCAUCCUGAGGCUUGUUGAGGUUUGACUUGAGGCUAAUAGUCUAAUAGAGACUGGUGGUCUUGUAUCUCAUAUUGCCAGUUACGUUUCAACCUCCGAGGAACGAUGUGCUUUUGCGGUGUGAAUUAUUUCUAUUUUUAUUGGCCCAAUUCUGAAGGGUCCAUCAGGCCAUCUCUUUAGCAGUCAUAACGAAGGCCCAUCAAGUUAGCAGCGCACACCAUGUACCUGCGAAAUAGAUAGGAGCUUGACAUGAUCCAAGUGAUUGUAGUUUAUUUAGGUCCGUUUGUUUUGCAAUAGAGAAUGAAAGUAGAUUCAUCGAAAUUCAAUGUUUGCAAGGUGAUUCACUUAAAAUCAAUUGGCAAGUAGAUGAAGUCACUUGGCCGUUUGUCUUCUAAUCCUAUGGGUGUCUUGAGCUGCACUUCGAUCAUUCAAGAGAUGAUAUAGUGCAAUGAAGUAUGUUCUUUGAAAGCUAGAGUCAUCUAGCUUACCACAUCUGUGCCUAUCUGACUUACCGCAUCUGGUUAGAUAAGAAUGCCUGCAUUUUCGAGAGGAGGGCACCCCCGCAAGUUGUAGUGGACAGAGCUUUCCGGCAUGCGGCCGAGAUCAUCUACUCUAUCAGGGCGACUUUACUUGGAGGGACUUGGGACACCUAAGGUUUCUACAUUGCUGUUACAGCGCCCAGGUUCAUUUUUGUCACUUGGGAACCUCCAACCUUUGGUCAUCUUAAGGUAAACUUUGACGGUAAUGUGCUAGCCGGAGGAGAUAGAGGAAGGACGGAAUUUGUGAUCCGUGAUCACAAUUCGAAACUAAUUGCUGCAGAAGGGCAACGCAUCUGUGGCACGACAGUCAUAGGAGCGGAGUUCAAGGCGGCAUUGGAGGGUAUCAUCUAUAUGAAGAGUGUCCUAAGGGCUGACGAGAUCACCCUAGAAGGACACUCCGCGAUGCUGAUCGAUUGGAUUCGGGACGCUGAGCAACAUGUCGACGGCCAUCCUCUCCUUAGCAAUAUGCAGCGGAUGAGGAGAGUCUGUGACUCUUUUCAAGUUGUUCAUGUGUAUCGGAAAGCGAAUCGAGCAACUGAUUGAGUUGCUUCCUUUGUUGUUCAUUACUCCAGAGAGGUCUCAUGGAUAUGGACUGAGAUUAUGCCCUUAUCUUUAUGUCAUAUAUUGUAUCUUAACUCAAUAGGUUGCACUCACGCCAGAUUAAUAUGAUCGACUGUUGUACCCCCUCAAAAAGAAAAAAAAGCUAGAGUCAAUAAAAAAUUGGUUUAAAAACAUUCAGGUAGUCUUGCAACAUACCUACUCAUUAUAAUAUAUAUAAUAUAUUAAUAAUAUAUAGAUGUAUCUUUUUUUUUUCGGACUCAAAAGAUAUUUUUAUUCUCAAAUUUCAGUCUAACCUAAAAAUCCAUCCUCGAGGACCGAUUUAAGAUUACCAAGCUGGACACUGAUUUUAGGAAUGAAGGAAAUUUAGAAAUACUACCAUGUGGGAUUAUCGAAAUGCAGUCAAGCACCCAUCUUACAUCACCCUCGUCACUCGAUACCAAAUGCUCCUAUAAAGCUGCAGGAUGAAUGCAAGCAUCAGUUGCAUGUACAAUGCAAAUUAUCUCGAAUCCUCGUCCAUGGCCUCGAAUCCCCCUGCCAUCGCUAUCAUGCGGGUGUUCUUCCAUAUUACCCCUUUCUAGCAAAAAUGCACCAUAAAUGGUCUAAGAAAAGAAAGCUAGAGGAAUGCACCUGGAUCACUCGAAGAAAACAUAUGAAAAAAAAAAGUGGCACAAGAAGAAGAAAAGAAGGUUCUGAAUGAAUGCAAGCUUAGAAACUAAGGUUGAAGGAGGUGCCGGGCACCGUAACGAUUCUUCGACGAAACGACUUGAUACGGACCGUGCCGGGCCUAUACCAAGAGAGGGCACGACAUCAUGGGAGAGAGAAAAAGAGAAAGAGCGAGCGAGCAGGGAGGGAGGGUCGGAGGAGGGUGGUGGAUGUCGGUGGAGGGCCGGCAAAGGCUAUAGCCGGUUUUCCUGUUUUAAACAAAACAUGGGUUCUGCCGUGGCUAAAAUAUUUUGCAAUUUUUAAGCGAGGUCUAUAAAUCGCUUACCGUAUUCACUUAAAAAUCGCGAAAUUUAAAAAUCGGUAAGAAAUUUGCCGAUUUUAUUUUAAAAACGUAAAAUUUUUUAGCCGCAUUUGGACCUCGUUCAAAAUAGGGGAACUGACCGCGGCCUCCGCCGGCUUUUAUGGCUUCCGUCGGCAAAACCGCAGCCCCUGCCAGCCUUUAUGGCUUCCGUCGGCAAAACCGCAGCCCCUGCCAACCUUUAUGGCUUCCGUCGGCCCUUUGCCGGCGUCCGCCACCCAUCUCCGGCUCUUCCUCCUCCGCUUGUGUUUUUUUUUUUUUGCCACUCCAGUAACGAGUUUUGUUUCUAUUAUCGAAAUCGUAUACCACUGAGGUGGUAGCUCAGUGGAACUGGACUUUUACUUCCACCCGGGCAAUCCGAGUUCGAAACGUACGGGCGUCGAUUAAAUGUGAAGACCGCAUGCUCCCCACUCAGACACGUGGGAUGGGAGGGCUUAUUGGUCCGCCGAUAGCCUCGGUGAUGCCAGAUGUGACGUCCUCAUACUGAGGGGUCGUACCAGAGCCCAGAGAGAUAACCGAGCCGAGCUCACAGGUGGGAAGAGUAUGAGUAAAAACAGCCGGCGUGCCCAACACACGAUCAGUUCUGCCCGCAUCGAACAUUCUUCUGGCGGAGUGGGGCCCAGUGGAGGCUACUACACGGGGGACUUGCCCCUUCCUCCUCAUUUCUCUUUUGCCUGAGAAAAAAAUAAAUAAAUAAAUAAAUAAAAUUGUACCUGUCAGCUGGUACGCCGCGGAUCGGACGGGUCGCCGACCUUAUUAGAAGCUAUCAUAAAGAGUGCUAAAUCUGUCCGUCGCCAGCUUCUUCUCGAACCUUCCACAGGCUUCUCGACUUGUCUCUCUUCCAGGCCUUUCCACCUCUCCCUCUAUGUCUUCCCCCUCCUCUCUUCUUCGCAAUACUGAAAUCCAAACGAUCGCAGACGAACCAUUCGCCGUUCACCACCACUACCAGGUAGUAGAAGAAGAGGAGCAGGGAUCGCAGAGCAGAGGAGGAAGCUAAGAGAUGGGAGUGGAUUACUAUAAGAUCCUCCAAGUCGACAAGAACGCCAAUGAUGGAGACCUCAAGAAAGCCUAUCGCAAGCUCGCCAUGCGAUGGCACCCCGACAAGAAUCCCAACAACAAGAAGGAAGCUGAGACCAAAUUCAAACAGAUCUCCGAGGCUUACGAGGUACUCAAUCCAUCGCCCAACCUCUUCUCCCACUCGAUUCCCACCUCAAAUCCCCUUCUAUCGCUUAUUUCGAUCCUUUUGUUGGUUCUCACUUCGAAUUCCCUCCAAAGAUCUCUUUUUUCGGAAUAUCAGAAUCCGUUUUAUAGGUGUUGCCUCAAAUUCCCUCCAAAGAUCCCUUUUUUCUUCCUGUUUUCCUCUUUUUCUUAGGUCUUCUCUCCAAUUCCCGCCCAAAGAAUACUUGUUUUGCAUCUAUUUCAAUCCGUUUUCGAGUUUCUCCCUCAAAUUUCCUACAAAUAUAAACUUAUUUAACGCCUAGUUCCCCUUCUGUCUUAAAUUCCUAUCCCCGGAUCACUUUUUCACCCCAUUUUUUGCUCCUGUUCUCUAGGUUUUAAGUGAUCCCCAGAAGCGCGCCAUUUACGACCAGUACGGGGAGGAUGGGCUCAAGGGACAAGUCCCGCCUCCGGGUGCCGGCGGGGCGUCCUUCUUCCCCGGCGGCGACGGGGACGGCCCCACCGUGUUCCGCUUCAACCCGAGGAACGCCGACGACAUUUUCGCUGAGUUCUUCGGGUUCUCGAGCCCGUUCGGGAGCAUGGGAGGCGGCAGCAAGAAGGGCGGCACCAGGUUCUCCAGCUCGAUGUUUGGGGAUGACAUGUUUGGGCCGGCGUUUGGUGGCGGAGAGGGGCCGAUGCAUUCGCGUCAGCCACAGAAGGCAGCGCCGAUAGAGAAUUCCUUGCCAUGUAGCCUCGAGGACUUGUAUAAAGGCACAACGAAGAAGAUGAAGAUCUCCAGGGAGAUUGCCGAUAUGAGUGGGUAAGUCUCUUCUCUAAAUCUUUUCUUAAUCUUGGAAAUGUUUUUUAUAUUUUCGUUUUGCUCUUUCUUUGAUGCCUAUUUUUUCUUCGUGCUCUGAAUCACUUUUGUUUGGUUGGAUUAAAAGUGAUGGAAGAUGGGUGUGUAAACUUAUAUCGAUUAAGUGAGCUUUAAUUGAUGAGAUGCCUCGUUUAUAUGAUUAUCCAAGCUUGAGUUUGUUGGGAUUACUUGGAUUUCUAUUUUAUUACUGUUCCGCAUACUCAUUGGAAACUCUUUCCACGGCAGUGUAAGGCAUCUCAUCAUAAUCAGACAGUAAAAAUAAUUUAAAUAAUAAUGUUCAAAUUUAAAUUAAAUAACAAAAUUAAAAGUGUUAUAAAACUUAUAAUAUUUCAAAAUCUUGUAUAUCAACUCUAAAAUAAAAUUUAGUCUAAAUAAAGAUGUUAAAAUCUUAUCUCUAAUCACUCUUCUAAGAUAAAUUUUCGAGUGACGCUGGUUCUUCGGAUCAAUUAAAAAAAGUAAAAAAAUUGUAUAAUGAGCUAGAAAAUUCAAUAAGCAAUGAAUAAAUCAAGCAAUAAAAUAUUAAUAGUAUACUGAAAUUAAGUAUGCAAAAUAUAUUGAUUCAAAACCAAAUCGAUACGAUAUCCAGUCAUUUCAAAUUUCAAAUCUUGUUUCAUAAAUCAAUUAUCUUUCAAAUCAUUAAGUUCAUCGACAGCCAUGAAUUAUGACCACAUUUAUGUCCUAUAACUGGGCUAGAAUAUAAGCUCAUCAAAGUGCCAAUGUAUAACCCCCGCUAGUAGAGUAUCGAUAUGCCAAUGUGUAACCCCCACUAACAGGAUGCUGAUAUGCUAACAUAUAAUCUCCACUAGCAGGGUGUCGAUAUACGUGAAUAAUCUCCAUUGGCAGAGUGUCGAUAUACAAACAAAUAACCUACACUAACAAGGUAUCGAUACAUAGUCUAGCUGCGAGUCUAAAUUUGUUUCGAAGCAAAAACUUGUUUUUUCAUAUUCAGUGUUCCAAAUCCUAAAAUACAUAAAUUCAUAUGACAUCAAAAUCAAUCGAAUAUAAUUCAUAUCAAAAUCAAUACAUUUAAUUAAGAAUUAUAUAAUAUUCUAGAAAGAGGCACAUAUAAUAAUAAAAUACUAUGCAUCAAUUUUAUAAAUCCAGAAUAAUUUGAUUAAGAAAAUAUCUAUAAUUUGUUGAUGGAUCUAGAAAAAAGAGUUACAUUACUUGCAAGCGAAUCCAAAGUAUCAGUCCAAUCAGUUUCAAAAAUAGAAAUCUUAAUUCUAAUAUUUUAUAGGAUUGAUGAAAUGAGAGUGCUCGACAUCCCUCUCAUCUGAUCAUGUUCGAACUAGGGUACUGAUGGUUCAAUAUAGAUCGGAGGUAAUCAAAUCUAAUAGUAUAUGGGAAGGGGAGGGAUGGUGUGCCGCCCAUCAAACAUAGAUUAGGGCCCUUCAUUAGGGUUGACCCAAAAUCAUGAAAAGAAGUAUCUUACUAGGUCUAUCAUCUCUAAAGAGAGUAAAGAAAGAAAGUCCAGUAGAGAGAGAAAAAUAAGAGAGACUGAGAAAAGAAAGAAGAGAUAGGAGAGAGAAAGAAGAGAGAGACUCUCUUCUUCCUCAAAAUAGAGGAGAGUACGUCUCCCCUCUUUGGUCAGAUUUAGGGGGCAGUCAUGGUAGUCAGCCUCGACGAUGGCAGGAGACAACAAGGCUCGGCCAACCUCGGUGGCCGGCGGCGACGAACUGCGAAGAAAAAGAGAUCAAAACAGGGCACCCUGUUUGGGACAGUUUUUUGGCAAGCAAUUCGUCAGCCCAAAUCAGGGUGGUUUACGACUAAUAAGACCAAGAGAGAGAAGAGGAAUGCCUACCUUAGUCCAGCAAGGUGGUCCUUCCGGCUCCUUUCGGUGACAAAUCGAGGAAGAUUGGAGGAGAAGCUUGGGAUCGGAGGCUUGAUCUUAGGUGAACUCGAAGGAGGAGGACGAAGGUCUUUAAAUAGACAGUCCCGGCUUUAUCCGGCCGUUCUUUGGGUGGCGAUGGGACUCAGAUCAUUAUUGCGAUUGGGGAGGAAAAAGACUCCCAGCCGGAGGCUUGCUCUCAAUUCUCCCUCAUGUGCGUCUCUCGAUUCUCCCUCACGUGCGUCGCACUUGAAGUUGGCCUAAAUAUGGCUAGGCCGGUCAAGUGGACCGGGCCCAGUCCACUGGCUUCACAUGAGUAGUGUGAGUGUGAAAUAUGUUAGUUAAUUUUGUUGUUUGAUGAAGGCAUGCUCUCUUAUAUAUUUGUUCGACUGGUUGUUUUAAUUAUUAUUUUCUAAUAUUUUGGUGCAGUUACCUUGAGCUUCUCAUAUAGUUUUGUUUUCUUAUGGGUUUGAGCCAUUCGCAUCUAGAACUUGAGCUUUGCCUACGUUCCCACCAACUUCGGGUUCAUGUGUGUGAUUCAUUCGUGGCUUGUAAAAUAGAAGCAUUCCUUUGCUUUCAAAAUUCACGUGCAUACCAACGCCAUUGGCAUGCAAAUGCAUCCCUAGUAUUGUUAGUGAAUGUGUGACAACUUUUAACACCAUUUCAUCUCAGGUUUACUGUUCUGGAUUGAUUGAGUUACUAUAGGAAGAAAAUGUAUUAUUAUUUCUAUUGUAAUUUCAGAAGAGGAUUUUAUUUUUGUUCCGCAUUCUUAUAGAUGAUGAACUCGUUUCUGUUAGACAUGUAUCCUUUGACAAGUUUGGUUGUUUCUUCCGUAUUGUUGGCUUCCAGUUCUUUGCUUAUCCAUUAGUAAAUUAUAUGCUUUUUGAGACUUCUGCAGAUAGACUUGAUAAAAAUUCCGUCUUGGCAGCUUGUAUAUCCACUAGAUUGGUUUAUGAUUUCAGUGCAGUUACUGAUUUAAUUAUUUGAUCCUUUUGUCCAGCAAAACAAUGCCAGUGGAGGAAAUCCUGACCAUUGAGAUAAAGCCUGGUUGGAAGAAGGGAACAAAGAUUACGUUCCCUGAGAAAGGAAACCAACAGCGCAAUGUCAUUCCUGCAGACAUUGUUUUCAUCAUCGAUGAGAAGCCACAUCCUGUCUUCACAAGGGAAGGAAAUGAUCUGGUUGUGACAAAGAAAAUUUCUCUUGUUGAAGCUCUGACUGGGUGUACCGUCCAUUUGACAACAUUGGAUGGUCGCAGCCUUACCAUACCCAUAAAUUCUGUGAUCCAUCCCAGCUUCGAGGAGAUUGUUCCUAGGGAGGGCAUGCCAAUACCUAAGGAUCCAUCCAAAAGAGGGAACCUCAGAAUCAAGUUCGACAUCAAGUUCCCGACAAGGCUUACUUCAGAGCAGAAAGCUGGGAUUAAAAGGCUGCUUGGUCCUUAAGCCUGAAGCAACUGGAGAGAAAAGUUUGUGAAUAUUUCUAGUUGAGGGUUUGCUCGAUGGGUUUGAUGUACUUGUAGCCUGACUAGGCUUUUGCAAUAAGCUUAAUCUGAUAGCUGAGCACAAACAUAAUUGUAACGUGAUCAUUUUUCGGUUCUAGAAGAAAAUGAAGACACGUUUUUUCCCUUAUUUCUCCUCCCUUAACCCAGAUUGUUGCUUGAGAACUGCUGUGCAAAGGUAGCGUUCCACCCUAUGUAUCUUGCAUCGUGACUGUAGAUCAUGCGUUCGGGUUGAACUCUUCUUAAUUGGACCUUGUAUGGUUAACCCCCUACUUCGGCAGGAGAUGGUGAUGGUCGAUUUUUUGUUCAGCUCCAGUCCGGGGGUUCAAAAGAUUCUCAUUGAUAAUUGUGUGCCACGAAAGAUGUUGGAGAUACUUUUGAGGUCUAUCGUCUUCAUGCAACCAAUGAAUUUUCUCAUCUUGAAGAUCCUGAUGAUGCAUCGUGGUUUUGUUCUAUAUCCCGCGCGCCAUCGAUAACUUGUCAGGUGGCUGGUAACGGGCUCUCUCUCCUUCGGUUCCUGGAGGUUCUUGGAUAAUAGCACUGAUCGGUUCUUGGAAUAUAAAUGUAAUGCCUCUUUUAUUUGCCCCACCUGUUUCCAAAUAUUCAGGACCUUUGUCUCAUCAAUCCAUCUUUAAUUUACCCCAACUCUUCUCACAUAUUUAGGACUUCCAAGCUCCUUUCUUCUAUUGACUGCAGCACUUUAGCAGAAGACUAUUUAUCCCAGUUUACAGAUAAAUAUGGCACAUGCUUUAACUAUGUCCGUUCUCUUGUAACUUUUCCAAAAUAAAACAAAGAUAUCCUAAACAAAAUGAAACUUUUAUAAAUAAAAGAUAAAUCGUUUAAUAGGUACAUGGAACAGCCUAGAAACACCUGAGCAACACAAAAUCUACAAACUUCUGCCGCAUCACUCGGUAUUACUAGGCGAGCUAAGAGCGCAAAGCUGACUCAAACCUGCCCUUCCCACUGACCUCCUUCCCUUAUCUGAACUGUCCAGAAUUCACCUCAGAUUGCAGAAGCAAUUAGAAAGCUUCCUCAGACUGCCUCGGCACUUAAAUUACCUGAAAAAAAGAAUAAUGACAGCUACAGCUAUCACCAGGCAAAAAGAAAAAUGGAUAGUUAUCAUUUUCUUAAAUUUUUUUCUUCUACUCUACACAGGAAGAAUUUGAAUUCCUUAAUCACUGUAUUCUGAAGAGAACGAUGAAGCCCCUUCAUCUUCAUCUCCAUUUCCUUCAUCCCUGACCUCCCCCACGUCCCCAAUUUCUUCAUCAUCUUCAUCAUCCACAUCAGCAUCCAAGUCCUCAUGCCCACUGCGGUCCACCUCAUCUUCCUCGUCAUCUUCAGGAUCAUCCUCCUCUUGACUCUCAUCAUCCAUUAGUCCUAUGGGUUUGCUCUCAUUGUAGUCUAUAGCAUAGUCUGCUGCCUGAUCAUCGUACUCCUCUCCUGAUGCUUGACCAUUUUCAUCAGAUUGGGAACCUUCACUGUUGUCAUCAUCUUCGAUGUACGGCCUUCGGGUUUCCUCUAAACCCCACUCUUCUCCACCUGAGCUUCUUGGAGACUCCUCAACACUGUCCUGUCUGACACUACUACUCACACUCCUAAAAUUGCCAAACAGAGACUCCUUUCGAACUGCUGGCACCCUGCUCUCAGAUCUUUGCCAUGACCUAACAGUGCGACGACCCCGCCUACGCCCCCCUCGGCCACGUGCCCUGCCUCUUCUUGCAUACUUCCUUGUGGUCUUCUCAAAACUAUUAAUGUUUUCAUCUCUGAACUCUACUCUGGUGGAGUUUACAUUCCCUCUGGAGCCUCUUCCUCCACGACCACGACCCCUUCCACCCCGACCACGGCUCCCUCGUCCACGACCUCUACGUCCACUUCCAGGAUCAAGCCACUUAGCCUCUUUCAGGUAAUCUACUUGGUCUGCAGUAUCUGUUGGAUCCAGCUCUUGGAAGUUCUUUACAACAGCAUAUCUUGAUGGAAGUUUCUGCAUAAAAGAAUAGUACUAUAAUCCAACAGGGCCAUUAGAUAAUCACUAUGCUUAGGGCCUGUUUGGAUGCCCACACAAAGAAUUCCAGGGAUAAGUUCCUCAUGCAACUGAAUUUUAAGAGAGUCAGUGGCUGUGGAGAAAAAUUUCGCAUCCAUGGCAAGAGAUCAGGAACUUUGAGAUUAUAGUCCCUGAAAAUUAAGAUACUCGAAUCCCUCCCUCUCAGAGAAGAUUUCCAGAAUCCCAAUUUUUUUGAAAACACGAGCCAAACUUUCCUUGAUUAGAAACAUUAUUUUACUCUCAAGCUAACCUCUUCCCACCAUUAAACAUUUACGGUACAUCCUCUGGACAGCUUACCGGGGCAUCCAGACAGCUCCUAGAAGUCCCAACACAAAGAACCGACACUAAUCUACAAAAUUUUAUUUUUUUCCUCAUAUAUUUCCCAGCUAAUCAAUGCCGAGUAGAAGGGAAUUAAAUAUGUAUAAAAUUUAAGAACACAACACGAUCCAAUAGAACAAGCUCAUUUCAGGAUAGCAUUAAUAUCAGAAUUUACAAGAGCAAUGAGAUGCAAAGUAUUCAGAUUUUAGCUUACUGAUAAAGUUCCUCUAGAUUUAGGAUUGGUUUAGUUCAAAGUUUAGAUGAGUCCAUGAGACAGGCAGUGAAACACAUUAGGAAAGAAGCACGGAAUAGUUUUAGGAAAAAAGAGAAAGAGACAGACAUUUGGUGAAAAUGAUGACUUAGAAUGGUGCCCAAACCCCAAAACACCAUUCAUAUGUUGGUGAGUGAUACUUCAAUAGAAUUUAACUUGAAAAAGAAGUAGUUUCUGAUAUUGGACUAGUGAUUAAAAAUGUAAACUUCAAGAUUUGUCUUGUCUAUCAAUGUAUUUUGUAAAACAACAAGAUGAUAAAAGGAAGCCCUGCUUUAAAGGAUUACAAUAUAUAUGGAGACACUUUCAAUGUAAUUUCCUGGAGGCAGAUAACAUUCAAUUAGAUCUUGGGAGAAACAGGGGCAUUCUUCUGAAAUAAAAUUAGAGAAUUGACAAGUUCAAAUCAACAUAGACUGGAUUCCAGUUGCUAUUUCAAAAGGUUGGGCACAGCCUAGGUGCUCACACUAACUCUUGCAUCCUAGCAUCCCUCUUAUUUCCUUUUGGAAUUAUAGUUUUGAAUGUUAAGCAUGCAUUUAAAAAUCAUUUAUUUUUGAUGUAAUAUAGAUAACCUAAAUACAACUACUAAGGCUCCAAAUUGUAGUUCAUGGUCGUUCUUCCUGAAAAAGAGACAGGACUCUUUAAUCACGAUUACUGGAUUGAAUACGAGCAAAAAUUGAUUAAACUGUACAUAAAUUGCUUUCAAAAAGUAAGGAAAUAUUCUAUCCCAAUUUUUGAGACAAAGCUUAACCAACAUUACAUAAUUUUGCCCCCUACAAAAAUUUCCACAUGAGAAAAUUAAGGCAUAUUUCUAGAGAAUAAUGCUAUAGGAAACCAGUUAUAUGCAAAUGAAAAUUCUCUUGCCAUGUCAAGAGGGAAUUUCCGUAAGUCAAGAUCUAUCAUACCGGCCUGUACUGAACUAUACAGACUAUACGGUACCUUACCCGUACGAUACCGAGGUUCGUUCGGUGAGUCGAACCAAUCCAGACCGGUCUAAACCGAGCGGAACCGUCUCAUACCACUGGUACUAUCCAAAACUAGGGUGCAUACUGUACCAUAAAGAUCCGUAUCGCAUGCUUUUGGACGGUACCAUGAUCAAAGUGAGAAAGGCCAGGGAGUUGUCUCAGUACGGGAUGGUAUUGUACCAUACCAAACAGGUGACGUACUAGUGUGUUAUCCAGCACUGAGGUUGUAGACCUCCACGGGGUUUAUUGGUAUGGAGUUGCUAGAACAGCAAUUGUGGGCUCAAUGAACUUUUCUUGUGUGCUUAACAGGUGCCCUGAAGCAUUUCCUAUUUCAAAUAAAUCCGAAGAAUCAUAUUGGUCCAAUGGGUCACAAAAUUGAUGUUCAAAUCUUCAUACAUCAAACAAAUGCUUUAUGAUUUAAUCAACUACAAAAUCAUAAUCAACCAUUAUGACGUUACUGAUUCCUAUAUUCCCAUCCUAUUCAGGUUUACAAGCUAUCUGGUUUAUCUAUUAAGAAGGAACACCAAAAUUCAUACGAAAAGAGCAGAUGAACUUACAAUGAACUCUCCUACUUCCUUCUCUUUAUGAGAUUCCAGCUUCUGGUGCAGCAUGUAAGAAAUUGACGAAUCAAAAUCCAACAGCCUUAAAGCCACAGCUGCGGCAGUAUCAGGCACCCAUGGAAGUACAGGAACCGAUCCAGAAAGGCCAACAGUGCUGUCCAUGACGAGUCCUAGUGUAGUAGAACUCAGCAGUUCAGUUGUUGUUUCAAAAUUCGAUGAUAGACAGUCCCGUUUUAUGGCACCUUCUAACAAAGUCAGAAUCUGCAAGCAAACAAAACAAAAUACGGCAUUACUUCUAGAUUUCUAUAUAAAAAGAUAGUAGUAUUGUAAUCGAAGGAGUGUAGUAUGAAAUUAUAUUGCCACCAAGAAGAUACCUAUUCAAAAUCAGGCAAUACCAAAAGGCUUAAGUAACAUCCACAAGAUGCAGCACAAAUGACAAGUCGUGUAUUUGAGAUAACCUAUAACCAUCUAACCUUUUUCCCAACUAUUUGGGUUUGUGUGUAUUUUAAGAGAUAUAAUCCAAAAUUCUAAGUGAUUAUAUCCAUAGCAUAGUACCAAUAACAAACUAAUUCACAUUACUGAUAGGACUUCACAAACUAUAAACUAUAAAGUAUCUACAGUCAUCAUAUUUCUUUAACUUCUGGUUUUACUUUUUUUCUUUCAAGUUUUACAAGUCUAUCCAGAAAUGUUGGUGAAUUUUCCAAAAUUUCAUGGAGUAUAAAAUUUUCCCUUUAUGAAAACUAGAAAAUAUUCUUUUCUAGGCCAACCCAAGUUCCAGUCGGAAAAUACAUCCAGAGUUCCAGACCACUUAGCAUUAAUUCAAUUCAAAUUCUUUCUCAUUCUUGAGUAGUGGUCAGGAUCUACUUAAGAGUACAACAAACCCAUAGAUAAGCUGCUUGUGCUUCAUAUCUAUUAUGCAGUUAAGAAGCUUGAUACCAUGUUCAACAAAGCACGAUGGUUGAUUUUGCAAUCCACCAGCGACCAUUGUAGUAGUGUGUUGUCUCUCUUUCAGGUAAUGCAAUGAAAUAAGGACAAUUUACUUUUGACAGGCAUACUAAUAAAGAACAACUGGUACAAAAUAUACAUUGAAAGAUGAACCAGGAAUUUUCCAAACUGUAUUACUGCUUAUUUUCUUGUCUAAUAUAACAAUGCAACAUUUAUUUAUAAUGUCAUGCAGAAUACCUACACUGUUGCAAUUCUUAGGAUCAUUGCUAUGCCAUUUUUUAUUGGAUGACUCUCCUCCCUCCUACUGGAAUUGGAAAGUCCUUUACGGGUUGAAAUUGGCUAUGCAAACAAGAAUUAGUAAGACUAAUAUUGGAAUAUUUAGGGGUUAUCCAAUACAGUAUGAUGUGUGGAGAGUGAGAAACUGCAGGUGGAAACUUAAAGAAGUUUGCAAAGACUGAAAAUGAAGAGUAAGCAGGCAAUACCUCCAUCAGGCAUGAGUAGGAACUUGCACAAUAAUCAACAAAAAAGUAUUAUCGGCAGUAGUACAAAAGAGAGUUGAGCAACAUACCCAUGCCAACAUGUAUAUUAUACACACUCAUCUGAUUCCUAUGAACUACUUACAUGCUCAUGUGAUUCACGUGAAAGCCAGCACAUUAAGUGGGAAAUGCUGCAUUGCAAGCUGCAUGUGGACAAAUGUUCCACUACAAGCAAAUGCAAAUCUAUCACUGUCCUUCACAUCUACAUGCAUGUGGUGUGUAUUUACAAUGUUUUAUAGUGCAUUACAUUCACAAUACAACACAUUUAAAUAACAAAAAAAUAAAGUUAAUUCAGGAUACCAAUUCAAACUUAUGCAUGUGUACACAAAACAGUUUAAUUAUAAGGAAAAAUAUUAAUCAUCAUCCUCAUUAUUGAUGCAGUGACUUGAAGUAAGCAAUGACUAUGAAUUUCAUCAGAAACAAACCAAUAUUUCUUGCCAAAUGCUGAAGCAAAAACCUUGAUAAGAAAAUUCACAUGGUGCUAAACAGAAAAAUUAUGGCAUUUGCAGCACUCCUUGUGAUGGGCAAUAACUGCUGAGGGCAAUGGAGAUAAUUUAUGUUUUAAGCCACAAAAAUGUGUCACUGAUGUUAACUGGGUUACAAAUUGGCACCAAUUACAAGAUUUGGAUGGAACAGAAUAUUAAGUUACUAAACUACAGAAAUUCAUUUUUCACAUAUUUUCUGAGCUGAAUGGCUUUUGUUGUUACAUAGGAAAAUACAAGCAAGAUCAUAGGAAAAUAGGACAUACAUCUUCAAUAGACCUGUUCACAGGCCCAGCCAGCUCAAGCCCACAGCCUUUUGGGUGGGCUUGGGUCAAGGUUUUAGGCCUGGCAGGUCAGUCUACACCUGGAAAAUAGUCUCGCUUAAUAUGGGCCAGGCUUGGGGAUUAAAUCCCGGCCCCCAGCCCGACCCCUGUAUGGCCCAAAUUUUUUUGUGUGUUGAUUGUUUAUGUUUGAUAUAUUUGUAGACUUAAUUGGCAAUUGUUGAUGAUGCGUGAGCUUAAUAGGGCAAUAGACAUAUUGUAGGUAAUUGGCAACAUUUAAAUAUUCAUAUUUAGUUUUUUAAAAAUAUUUUUAAGCAUUUUUUAAAAAAAAUUAAAAAGUGUCAGGAUGCCCGAAGCCCGGGCCUAAGUAAAAUUUGGGAAAAGCCCAGCCUGGCUCAUGAACAGAUCUAAUCUUCAAUAAUGGUCACUUUUAUAAUAUCAUUUUGUUAGCUCUCGAUGAGUAAUUAACCGAAUCAUGAUUAAGGUUUCAUGUUUUGGUGCCAAUGCAUGGGCCAUGACACACAUGUCAUGCCAUGUCAGAAUAAGAAAGUCAAAAGAAAAACAUAAUACCCUUUUUUAAUUUAAAAUAUUUAAAAAGAAUAAAUAGAUUAUGUGUCAACUCAUGCUGGGUGCCAAUUCUGGGCAAUGAUCAUAACGCAUUACUUCUCAUUUCAUUUAAUUGAGAUAACGAACAUUCAACUUUACAUUCACAUUUUACAAAAGCAAAAAGGAUUAGAAACAAUGAAGUGAACAAUCCAGGAAUCCCACAAUCCAAAAAGACAACCAAUUGGAAUGCUAAAUCAAAUUUUACUAGCUUGGAAGCUAUUUCACCCUGAUUAAUUUGAAGAUCUUUCCAGGCCUAAAUUGUGUUCAUUUCAGAUCAGGGCCAUUGAUACUUCUGAUCAAUGACAACAGAAGAAAAACAAGGACAGCUAAGCUCCCAAAGCCUACGAGGACCAAAGCACCCAAAUGACAAACGAUUUAAACUUUAAAGUAUCAAAAACUAAUGAAACCAUGUUUUAACAAUUUCCUAGAACCAGCAUUGAUUCUUAUUACCUUAAUGCAAGUUUAAUUUGAUGAGGACAGCUAAUGCCAGCAGGAAGCAUUAAUUUACUGUAAUGUAAAAGUGAAACAGGCCACUGAAACCUAUAUUAGAUGGCCACAAGGUUUAUGAUGCUCCUCCCAUUGAGUAAAUUCCAAUGAGUGGUGAAAUAAGAAAAAAUGUUGUUUUACAUGAUUGUUUUCUAUUAGUCUAGUAUAAUUAGUAGAAAAAACCAAAUUAAAAUGAUCAUAUGACAUAUUAAAUGUUGUGAGGUAAAUAUGUAAAAGUAAAUGCAACCUGAAAGAGUUCCUCAGCAGAUGACGAGGAGUGCAACUUUACACCCCAAGACUUUCUAUAUCCUUCAGUCCAAAAAGGCUGAAGAGCUUCUGCUGGAAUGGAAACCUACAAAUACAGCAAAUGCUACCAUGAAUAAAAUCAGAAAAAAACAACAGUAAAUUAAAUAAAAUUUAAUUCAAAAAAUAAAACUAAAAAAACAAACUCAAGCAAUGUCACCACACCUCAAUCACAGCCAACUGUGCCUUAAGCAGCCUGAUCCCAAUGGGAAGACAAGAAUCUGACGCUUGCAUUUUCCACUCAGGGUCCAUUUUUCGCUUUUCUUCACACUGAGUAGCAUGUUCUGAGAAAUUUGAAUCAGCAUUAUAAAAGGUUUUGAAUGUCUUGUGGCAUGUAGGGCAAUGCCUUUCUUCAGCUAAGUAAGACUGGUAGCAGAAAUGGCAAGUUUGUAGCAGCUCAGAACAUCUUUUCUUCCCAUAUUUCAUGGCACAUAAUAUAUGAGGAUUGUAGCAUUCUUUCCACAUCCAUUUUAAAUAGCCCUGGUACCUCUUCAAAGCAGUAUGCUUCUCGAUCACAUUCCGCCCAAGUUCAAUCUUGAAAGAUUUUGAGACUUCCAAAGCAUCGGAAGUAAGACCACAGAGAGUACUGCUGGGACUGUCAAAUUCAGUGCUGCAAUCAGGACUUGAUUGCAUUUCAUUAGCCCCUCCUUUUGCAGGACCUCCAGCUGAGUUCAGAGAGGUGGUACACUUUUUCCUCCUAAUUGCUUCUUUGAAGGUUGUCUCAAUUCUUUGCAACAUAGAAUGCAAAUGAGACUCCCUAAUACCACGUGUAUCUAGGGCAGCUAGAAGAGCAUCAAAUGCCUGUAUUUUUAUCAAGGAGAACAUUGUGUUACAAAAAAAGCAUAAUUCACAAGGAUCAUGUGCCACAUCCAAUACUUGAGUAUAUGUCAUGAACAAGCCCAAGAUUACAAAACAGCAGAGUUCAAUUGGUCUCAUAUAUGUAAAACUUCAAUAGUGAUUUACUUCAAAAGAAUGAGCUUUGCCUUCUUUUGAUGCCUAUGCCACUCUAGCCUGACUGAUAGAAUUAGUAGAACCUAAGAUUGUAAGCACUGGAAGGAACAAGCACAUCAUUCCUCCAGUAAAUGUUGUAGGAUAUGCACAAGCAAAGGAUGGAAGGAAAUUAUGGCAGUGAUCCAGAUGGUGACUGACAUACCCCUUCAUUCUUAUUCACAGCUAUAAGAAUGCUCCUCCUUUCCAUUAGAUAAGAAAUGAAUGAAAAAGAAUGAACGCAAAUUCUUCGUUGACAAUAAUUUUGGAAAUGAAAUUAAGUAGGUAGACUGGACACAAAUGCACAUGCAAUAAUUAUGAGCUAACAAAUGCAAGAUUAAAUAAUCAAGAAAAAAAAAGUAUUAAGUUUCCAACCUAGUCUAUAUGAAGGUUAAAUUUUUGGCAACAUGAGACAUCCACUAAGCUAUUUCCUCUAGUCAUUCAUUAGUAGCCCCUUCAGUUCCUGGAUCUGUAUCUUGCCAUUAUACUAGCACAGUCUGCAAUUCUGAACAUGCCAAUUAAACUUUUACACACUUUAAUUCUGUGGUAGGAUUUAGAUAAACUGUGCUUAUUGAACCGGAAAAAAACCAUUAGUUGAUCCAGCAAAUUCAGAAACGCACUGUACAUAAAAUUAUUGUGAACAUAGCAAGAACUAUUGCAGUACCCAGUCCAAGCCAAUUAAAGAACACAGCUAUAUAUAAUGUCUAACAGAGAGAAGUAUUUAAAAAUGGAAAAUAUCAAAAAAUGGCACGAAAAAAUGAGCAGACAACUUAAAUUUAGCACCUGAAAUUUAAAUUCGAAUUUGUUUUGAUAACUAGAGAAAUAAUUGACUGCACCUUUUAUCAAUUUCGAAAAUAAGUUUGUCACUGACAGAUAUUGUGCUCAGAAAGUAAGUAUGCAUCCUCCACUAAAAGAACGUAAAUACAAUUAUAAUUUUAACUAUUAAAACAAAAGAGAUGAGCACCUCCUCUGAAUCAAGAAGCCUCCAAAAGCCAUCUUUGGACUCAAAGAAGAUUCUUCCUGAACCAGGAUCAUUUGGUGAAGCAGAUGUUGAAAACUGCCAGUACCGAUUACGCCAACGAUCUUGACCCAAGGGUAGUGACCUGUAUACAUAUAGUUGUUCUGCCUUGUGACCAAUGUAUGAUUUUAACUGUGAACGUGACUUUUCAGAUGCAUAUCCAUAUUGUUGAGGUGGAAGAGUGUCUGCAUUAGUAGAAAAAUCUUGCCCUAAAGAAUUCUUUUCAGCAGACACAUUACCAACAUUGAUCUGACUGUUUUGCUCUAGAUACUGGUCAUUGUUGAUGGUAGUUGGAUUCUCAUCACAAAUCUGAUUCUCAACAGUGUGUAGUGGAGUUUGACCUCCCUCUGUUGCAGCAUUUGUUUGGGUUGCCUCAGCUUUGCUCCCUGUGAAAGAAGUAUACUGUAAUUUGCUUGCAUACUCUUCUUUAAAACGUCUUUUAUCAAGCUGUGCCUCUGCCCACAUCUGCUUCUUUAGAGCAUUUGCAGCUUCCAAACGUUCCUGGAAGACUGCGCUUUAGAUGACAGGUCACAAAUAGAAACAAAAGUAAGAGAAAAUAUAGUACCAAAAUAUUCAAUUGCUACCUCAAGAAUAACACGUAUGGAGUUUCCUUCAAUAGCCACACCAAUCAACGCGACAAGGGCAUUAAGGCGCUCUUCAACACUAAGAUCAGAAUAAUCACCUUCUGUCAGUCCCUGAACCCAUGGUUCACCAAAGUUGCUUUCAUCAACCUCAAUGUCCUCCAUGUCAGCAUUAACUACCUCAUGGCAGUUUGAAUCGACAUCAAGGGACUGGGUAGCACCCGAAGCGCUUAUCACUUUGGAGUUUUCAGGAGGAGAAACUGAAUGGCCUUUUUCCACAUUCCUAGAAACAUUCUGUGGAGUUAAUUCGGCCUCAUCACAAACUGCCUCCUUGUUAAUACCUAGCGAAGUUGAUGCUCUAGCAUCUUUUAAUUCAUUUGCAAAAGGAACAUUCUUAUUUGGUUUUGCUUCAAUACUGGCAUCAUCAACUUCAGGGUCAUCAGCAACGUCAGCAUCAUCAGCCUCAGAAUCAGCAUCAUCUCUUUCAGCAUCAUCAGCAUCUUCUGUAUCCUUUUCAGCUUCAGAAUCUGAAAGUCCAUUUUGGAAUACUCGUAUCUUUUCUCGUGCAGCUGAUAGUAGAGCUUCUGCAUCAGCAGGAUCUUUUCUAAAGGGAGGUCGUACACAAUAUGUUGAAGGAGCCGUUCUUUCAAAAAGUUUUGUAUCUCUCGACAAUGCCGCAGCAAUAGAUGCCUCCGGUGUCUUGCUUGUGGUGAGAUCCCUUAAACCAGAUUUCUGACAAUGAAGGGAUAGGAAAAGAAAAUUCAGAUGAACAGGUCACAGAGAGGAAGAAUUUGACAAUUGACGGAAGAGAUACCUGAAUCUUGUCUGCAACUUCUAGUAUUGUGAGGCCUUUGCUUCCCUCAAGAGAAAGGACAUAAAAAGCAGCAAAUUUGACAGUACCAGGAGUUAAACGGUGCCGAGAUCUACGUCUAUGAGUAUAACCUUUUUCUUGCAUCAAUGCAACUGCAUUUUCAGCAGCUGAACCAUUCCGUAAAGCGGAAAUUACAUCCUCACCAUCAUUACCCUGACAAUCAGAAGAAAAUUCCAUUAAAUCUCCACUAAAAAGAUAAAUAGCCAACAACUGAUAGGACCUUCAAAUGCAUGCACUUGAGCAGUAACACAACAAAAGCAAAAUAUAUUUUUCAUAUCAAAAACCAUCAUCUAUUAAGUGAUUGAUGCUGAUAUUGCUAAAAGAGUGAUAACGUGCAGUGUGAGGAAUCAGCAGAAAGUGAGAUUUUCUAAGCUCCAAAAUGAUAGAAUUCAAGAACAUGAUUUUAUAAAAUUAAAUGCAUGACCUAGCACAUGUAUUCAAGUCCAUAUCAGUUACACAAUUAAAAUGACAUGAGACAAUUUAUUAAAAAGGCAAACUAUCAUGGAUCAGGCCCAAAAAAGGGAUAAUUUUUUCACCAAAGAAAUAGUAGUACCCAUGCACAUGCAUAUAUUCAAGUCAAUAUCCAUAUUUGUUUUAAACAGAUAUGGUACAAGUCGGAUAUUGGUUAUAGCCAUAUUUCUUCUAACCGCACAUCCCCAUAUAUUCAAGUCAGUAUCAAUUACACAAUUAACAUGACAUGAAAUAAUCUAUCAAAAAGGGAUGAUUUUUCCUCCAUGUUUUCUCUAUCUGAAUAUCAAUGUGAAAUAUUAGAAUAUUAUUUUGAUAUAAAUCAGAUUUUGAGUUGAAUUAAAUAAUGAAAACUAGUAGAUAAUUGAUCAAACAAAAAAAGGACAAUAGUAGCUUAUUGAUCAAGCUAAAAAAGGAGAGGUUUUUUCUAACAAAACAGUAUUUGUAGAAGCAGCAAGCCAUAUUGGAUACGAAUACGGAUCGGAUUCUAGUAUUGCAGCAUUUGUAUCCAUAUUUUUUCAGCAAAUGCGAAUCAGAUAUUGGUAUAUUUAUAUUUGCAUCCAUAUUUUUUUCAGCAAAUAUGAAUAUAGAUAAUAGGGCUGAAAAUGGUCUAGAUAUGGAUCGCGAAUUGGUACAUCCAUAUCCAUAACCAUAUUUUUUCGACAGAUAUGAAUAUAGAUAUAGAUAUUAAACAAAUACCAGAAUUAGUAUCCAUAUAUAGAGAUGAAUUGGAUACUGACCAUAUCCAUAUUUGUUCUACACGGAUAGGGAUACAAAUUGGAUAUCAAUCAAGGAAUGUGGAACCGAGCCAAACCGGCCGGUUCCGCCAAUUUCAAGCUAUGCCUGUGGCUCACCGGUACAGUUUAGCCAUUGAAAACGGCUCGCUGCCGAAGCCGAAUGAGAAGAGAGAGAGAGAGCAGAGGAGGGAGGGUGAACGAGGCACGGCGGACGGCCGUGGGAGAGGAGCAAUCGAGGUCGCGGCUAAAAAAUUUGGGAUAUUUUAAGUGAAGUCAGCAAAUCGAUUGCCGACUUCACUUAAAAAAUUUUAAAUUAAAAAAUUCCAAAUUUUUAGCCUCCGUCGGCCCCCCGUGGCCCUCCGUCAGCAUCCAUCGCCGUUCAUUCUCCCUCCCUCCCCCACUCUCUCUUUUUCUCUUCUCCUUCUUCGGCUCCGAUGAUUUUCUCUAUUGGUACGGGCUUAGCACAGCCCGACCGACUCGUACCGCCAAAAAAUCGGUACGGUGCUCGAUAUCGAUUCCUCCAACCUUGAAAUCAAUUAUAUUCAUAUUUUAUCUAUUUAAAUAUGGAUCAAAGUCAAAUAUUAUUUAUAUAUAAAUUGGAUUUUAAGGGAAUUUCAAUAAUGAAAACCAACAUAAAUGAUUGUUAUUAAAGAUGGGAAUGGAAUCCAAUAUAAAAAUCACAUGCAAAGCAUAGGUAACUAGGUAAGGGUCUAAAUCGUGGUUAUUCAAAUCGCAAGGAGACUGACUCAACCAAGGUUACGAGUCAUUGGUUCAAUUGUAUUUGUAUUAAAAAUAUAUUUGAAAUUAACUGUUAAAUAAAAAUAAAUAAUAUACAAAACAAUCAAGAAUUAUAUUUUAUGGAGAACUUGUAAGAAAAAGUUAUUUAUAGAUGUAAGAACGCGUUACAAGUAUGGAUAUUUUAAAAUAUUUUAAACAAUAAAAUUUUGACAAUAUUAUAAAGAAUAAACUGAAAUAUUUCAUUUUUUAUCAUUAUGAAAAUGAUAGGUUUUUUUAUGAAAAGAAUUAAUAAAUAACAUAUGAAAUAUGUUGUUUUUAUGACAUGAAAAAGUUUUAAAUAAGUAUAAUAAGAUAUCAAUAUAGAAUAGAAAUAAGUGUUGUCUCAAUGGUUGAGUGGCUGGCCAGUUAGUUAAAGACUUGGGUUCGAUCCUUGAUAAAGGUAGUAUUCAGAUUUCUUUUUUGAUUGGAUAUCUAGACUCGGAUUCAGAAAAAUCUUCAAAAAUCCAGAUCCAGAUUCAUAUCCUAAAAAUUUUGUGAUUACCUAUCAGAAUCUAGAUCCAAUCAGAUUCAAGAAUUUCUAUCUGAAUUCGAUUCGGACCGAAUACAAAAUGAUAAUAUCCGACUAGUUUUCAGCCCUAACAAACACCAACAUUAGCAUCCAUAUUUCUUCAAAAGUAUCAGGAUACAAAUCGAAUAUUAGGCAUAUCCAUAUUUGUUUUAAACAGAUAUGGACACACGUCAGGUAAUAGUUAUAUCCAUAUUUUCUCGAUCUAAAUAUGGAUAUGUAAGAUAUUCGUUGGAUAUAAAUCAAAUUUUGAGAAGAAAUCAAUAAUGAAAACUAACAUAAAUGAUAUAAUCAUAAAGGAUAGGAACGGAAUCCACUAACAAGAUCGUAGGCAAUGCACAAUAACCAGGUAGUGGUCCAAGGCCUAGCUAUUAAACUUGCAUGGAAACCAAUUUGGCCAAGGAUCUGGGUCACUGAUCUUACCAGAUUUGUAUUAAAAAUAUAAUGAAACAAAAAUUAUCUAAAUAAAAUAUAUGAUAUAAAAGUAUUAAAAAUUUUCUACAAUAAGUACUAUUGUUACUCUCUAAUUGCAGCAUAAAUAAAAAGAAUCAUGGGUUUAUAUUUUGAAAGAACCUUAAGAAAAAAAUAUAUACAAAUAUACAAAUAUGUUGAAGUUAUUGAUUUUUGUAAUAUUUUAAACAAAAAAGUCUUGAAAAUAUCAUAAAGAAUUAAACGAAGUUAUUCAUUUUUCAUAUUUUUAUCAAAGAAAAAAGAAAUAAGUUUUUAUAAAAAGAAAUAAUUAUUAAAAUAUGAAAUAUCACAACAUAUUUCAAAUGAGUAUAUUCGAUAACGUAAGUUUGAAGGUAUAAUAAUGACUUAUAUAACAAAACUGAAUGUCGUCAUCGUAGAUGAGUAGUUGUUAACAACUAAGAGGUCACCAGCUCAAUACCUUGUGCAAGUGCUAUGAAAAUGAUUUUUCCUUGAUAUAGUUAGUCUUUCAGGGUUUUUUUUAACCGGAUAUCCGAAUCCACAUCCGAUAUCCAGCAAAACUCAUAAGCAUGUACCAGGAUCCAAUCAAUUACAAGGAUUUCUACAAGAUUCCAAUCCAAACCAAUUUGGAGAUGGAUACGGUCGAAUAAUAUCCAAUCUAUUUUCAGCCCUAAGCAGUAGCAUGUCAUGGUUAAUUAAUAAAAGAUAAUCAUUAGUCUAAACUGAAAAUUCUGUGCAACCUAAUUAGGCAUCAUCCUGUCAGCUAACCUAUAAAAGAUACAUGUCUUGCAAAUACAAUCAACUAAUCUAAUCAAAAAAUUAUGUGCUAGCUUAAGUUGAAGAAAUUCAAAACUAUAGAGAACAAUAUACCACAACUCCUGGAAAAAUUCCAGGUGCCUUCAAGCUUCAAAAAAAGUUAAGAGACAUGAGCAUGGAAAAGACCAAGGAUGAGGCUCCAUUCAGUGAAGCAUGCUUGAUAUAACUUGCAAAAUACGACGAUGAGAAUAAAUCGUUUCUUAAAAUAGACAAAUAUAAAAAAAUAGAUCACAAUUCACAUAUGCAAGAAGCCAUUAUAAGCUAUGAAAAAUGAAUAGCAGUCUACAAGAAAUUAAAUUCUUCAUAAACAAAAGAACCAUUCUUAAACUAAAUAACAAUCUCUUGUAAAGUUUAGAAUAGUUGAAACAAAAGAAAAUAUUUGAUAUCUCAAGCAAUGUCUUGAUAUUCUACAUCGAGUAAUGUCUUUUUUCCCUCUACUUUUUCCCAAUUUCACAAUAACCACAAUAAUGAUACUUCCAGAAAAUCAUUUGACAAUCAAAAUCAAUCUACUAAAAAGAGUAAAAGAAUAAAUGAGGUUUAACCAGAGUUUUUUUUGGGUACAUACCAUUAAUUUUGGGGGCAAAGGUUAAAGUUGCAUGUUCCAUAGAUGUUUAUUUAGAUAUGAAAGAACACAAACUUCAAAUGGCAGAACGCUUUUAGCUUUACUGUCACAUAAAAAUUAAAACAAGCCUCUCCCCAUAUCUCUCCUAUCUUCCAACAAUAUAAUCUAUGCAAAAGUAAAAUAACAAAACCAACUGUGAUUAGGGUUAUGUCGGAUGGAACCUGGAUAUUGAGCCUAAGCAUGAAUUUGUUUGAAGGAGAUUCUUGCUCAGGCAAAAACUACCAAACAGCCCCAAGACAUAUAUGUAGCUUUUGGGACUUCAAUUAUGUUUCUCUAACAAAAUAGAACAGCCAACGAAGAAGAAAGCUUCCACCAAAAUCUUAAACCACAAAUCACCAACAAAGAAAAACUGCAAACCCAUGUUUCUCAUGAAAAAUAUAAACUACUAGUUACAAAGCAUAUGAAAACCUUUUAAACGGAAUAUAGUAGAGGAAAAACUCAAGGGACAAAUUGUAAAUUCCACCUUAAAGCAAUCAAACUGCAUUUUUUUUAAUGCCUAAUCUUGUUAACAAAUAAAAUCCCAAAUUGGCAACUGUCUAUCUUGUCUUCUGAAAUGAAUAAGACUGACCUUUUUACUGCACUUCCUUAAUUCUUUAUGAGAAUUAUACGUGUAUCCAGACAAUAUCAGAACUACCAAUGGACAUAGCCACAUCAACCAAGGCAGGACUAAAGAUCCUUACCAAAGUUUUGCAGGAACUAGAUUAAGAUGUGAGCAUAAUUUUAGAAGCUUGUAUCAGGGGUAGGAUACCUCAUGGUCCUCACGGAAAUAAACAUGUUCUACAUUUCUUUUCUUCAACUGAGGACCGAAUCCAGCUGACAAAGCAAAUUGUCGCAAUAUUUCAGGCCAUGUCAAGUAACUUAGGUGGCGCUGCCAGAUGCGUAUGUUGAAGCCCCAAGCAUAUGCCUACAAUGACAGUGGAAGUUGAAAAAUAAGGAGAUACAUUAAACACAAAUCAAUACUGAGAAAAGAAAGUACAGAGUGAGUGCAAAAUGCCAACACACCCCUUCAACAAUCUGUGGAUGACCUCCCCCUGUAUUAGCAGCACUAUUUUGGUUAGCUCCCAAUGCAAUAGCUGGAGUCCUUGCAACAUCCUCAAUAUCUUUAAUGACAGAUUUCAAUAGAGCAACAUGUAUCUCCCCCAGCAGUCUCGAGUCCUGGGAAAGCUUAAUGUUAGAUCAACAAAACCAAGACUGCUUACUUGAUUGGCAACUGGGAAACGAACUAGUAUCAUCUAGGAUCGACCACAUAUUUAUCCGAAUUAUAUAUUACACAAGCUCCUUGAAGAAGUUUGGCCUGACUAGAUGGUGGAUGAAGAUAAAUGCACUCCUUAUAGGGCUGGAAGUGGGCUGGGCAAUACCCCUACCCGAACCCAGCCCGAAUUUUUUUUUCAAGCUUCGAGUCGGGCUUAGGCCCGAAAAAUUUUAGAUAAUCCAGGCCUAAGCCCAGCCCUGAGGCCGGCCUGAACCCAAUCGGGCCGGCCGGAAUUAUCCAUUUGGGCCAAAAAUAGGUCCAGCCUGAAUUCGAUUAAAGUUUAAUAUUUCUUAAUAUUGCUUCACAAGAAAAUAAACUAAUUAAAAAUUAGUCUUUCUCCUAUAACACAAGUAUAAUACAUUACUUUCAACUAAAUCCAUUUUAAUAUGUCAUUUACUUUCUCAUUAUUCUCUCUAAAUAACUACAAAAAAAAAAAAUUGGCCUAAAUUCGGGCUCCAUUUCGGGCCUUGUUCGGGCUCGGGUCGGGCCCAGGCUAGGCCAAUGACAUACCCGAGCCGGGCCCGAAAAACAAAUGGAAUCUAUAUUUAAGCCCAAACCCAGUCUGAACUCUUUUGAGCCUAGCCCGAAGCAUGGUCCAAAGUCAAGCCGACCCGAGCCCAUUUAUAGCCCUAAGUCCUUAUCAAUAUAUAUGCCCUUUUAAAUAUUAUUUUUAAAGAGAGAGAGCUCUAAGGAAGUGCCUUCAUAAAAAGUAUUGCUCUUAACAGUUCACAAAAUCCACCACAAUGCCUCAAAAAACAUAUUUCCAAAUUUACAAUUUUAUCAACAUUUUCACUUCAUCUGGGAGAGCAUACAAACCCCCCAAAUUUUAAAUUUUGAAAACAUACUGCAUGGUAUAACAAGUGGUGCACAGAGCAGGUACAAGACACUAGUAGUCAUAUAUCUAUCUCUACAUAUAUACAAAGCUGAGUUUGAGCAUUGGGGCAUGAUGUGACAUUCCAGGAAGCUUAUUCCAGAUCCAAUAACUGGAAAAGAUGCUUCUACCAGUCUACAAGCAAAUAUAGAAAGCAUUAGAAUAUCAAUCACUGAAUAAAUCAGGUAUACGCAAUGGAAGACGGGUCUAUCUAGUCCAAAAACAAUAUAUCCAGACAAGAAUUGAUCUUUGUUAAUGUCAGCCUGAGUCUAGACUCAAGACUAAUCGCAGACCAAGCUGGUACCUUGCAACCUCCAUGCCCCUGACUUCCGACUUCCACAUUGUUUAUAGCAUUGGCACAACAGCAAAAUAAUUCCAGGAUGCAGAAAACAUGAGAUAACAAAGUUCAGAUGACUAAAAACAUAUGUAUAGAGGACUCACAUAAUCAUGGAGAGAUUGAACAAACUCGUCAAGAGUGAAUGGCCAAAGCCCAAGGACAUCAGCAAAAGUAAUUAAAAAUUUCCAAACCUGAAAUUGAUAGACAGUGGCAUUUAAUACGUGUUAGGAAAAAAUAACUCAUGAAUCAUAUAGCAUGAAAGCAUCAUAUUAAGUGUAUAUGGAAUUUUAGUAAAUCCAUACUAAUGAAAGCUAAAGAAAAUCACCACCUUUCUUAUAUGAUAAACAAAUCACACAUGUAAUCUAGCUUAUUAUGUCAGAUAUCCUAAGACAAAGGUACAUUCCAGCAACAAAAGAUGUUUUCUUCAAAACAAAGCCAUCAUAAGAGCAAUCGACCCGAACAUGAAAUAUUAAGCAAACAGAGGUAUAAUAGCCAGAUCAGAAAACGGUACCAUAAGAAGGUUCCCAAUGUUCUCUUCAGAAUCCAUCCAAGGUUGAAUUGCAAAAGGCCUUUUCAGUUGCACCGAUUUUGGCGGAAAUGAACUCAACAUAUCUGAAGCACAUAAAAGUGCUGAAUUACUGAUCAAAAUUCAUAAGAUUUUUCAUGAUGGAUUUUGAACAUCCUUCAAGUUGACCUUAAAUUAUAUAGCAGAAAGUAAAAAAAUGUUAAUCAUGCUUAUAAGUAAACAUUGUAACUUCACCAACAAAAAUCAAGUUUUCUAACUGAAACCAAUUUAUGUCAUUUCUCGAGCUUCAUGUUCCGUAGGCAAUAAAUGCACAAGGCAAUUCGCAGCUGAGCUGCAUGUCAUAUAAAAGAACAUACCUCUAAAUGAAUCUAGCAGCUGCAGAGUAUCACUGUCAAGUGAGAAAAUUGAGGACAAUCCUUUUCUUGAUGCAGCCAACUCCAUUAGUUCUAAGCGCUCGUCUUCAAUAAGCUCCAUAUAUUCUCUAGCAAGCCUGCGAGCUGUAGCCCUCUCAUUAGCAGCUUUAAGCCUUGCAGCCUCCUUCUCUCUUCGCAGUUCUUCUUUCUGCCUCAUCUUCUCAACCUGAACUCAUCCCCAAGAGAAACAUAUUAAUUUACUUUCAAAAAGGAAACUCAAAAGUCUAUACUGUUGAGAUACUUACUCUUCGGGUUUCUUUCUGCAAGUAUUUCUCCUUGCGCUCAAGUGCACGCCUUUGUUCCCUUUGAAAUCUCACUUCCUCUCUCUGUUUUUCACGCAUCAUCCUCUCUUCUUCCUUUCUUCUUUCACGGUCAUGCCUUUCCAUUUCCCUCCGCAUUUGUUCUUCUCUCUGUAGAUGAAAAGCUUUAAUUCAGUAAGCAGUUAAUGAAUGUCAUCAAAGACAAACAUUCAGAAAAAAUAGUGACACCUUUCUUCUCAAAAUAUCCUGUUUUUCAAGCUCUUUCCGUAUCCGCUUCUCAUGGGCUUCAACCUCCUUAGCAAUUCUUGCUUCUUCACUCUGCAUAUGUUGAGAGUUUACAUAAAAACAGAACCAACUUUAAAAAAAAGGAGAUCAGAAGAAGCUUGCUCACUAGAUCAUGCAUACCUUACGUUUCCUCUCCAUUCGAGAAGAAUCUUCAUCACAAAAAAUCCUCCUAUCAGAUGAUAAAUAUGAAUUUUCUAAUCCCAUGACUUGAUGAACACCAAAUUGACUGUCACCUGGAGCACUGGCAAAAGAGCUGCUGUGCUGAGUAGUCUCAUACUCUGAUGCAACUGCAGAAUAAAUUUGCUGCCUGCCUUGAUGAGACAAUAGGCUGGCACCCGACAUUUGACCUUGAAAAGUGUAACUAGGAGCCAGUUGUUCAUUUCCAUGCAAAUAUUGCGCUCCUGAAGUUAAAGAUUGCAUCCUGGUACCAGGAGCAUCCACUGAAGAAUCAUAGAAAUGAGAUUGAGGGACCCUGUCAUAUGUCUCUGAUCGGACACUUGGCUGCUCAGGUAGAAACUGAUAUUCAUGAAGAGCUCUUGGACCCAUCUGAGGAUGACCUACAUUAGAACCUCCAAUUGCCAGCUUCCUCUUCCCAUUAGAUGAAUUUGGCAUUAAACAAUGUUCUAUACUAGGCAAGAAAGUUGAUGCCUGCAAACAAAAGCCAGAGUAUUCCAAAUGUUGAAUGGAAUAUAUGAUUUCUCUUCUGCAAAAGAUAAAUCAAGACUCAUAAUGCUAGCCCAGAGAUUGUAGACAUAUCGAUACUAAAAGGUGUUAGGUUUGGAAAAGUUAAAUCAAAAGCCCAUCAAAUCAUAAAAUCAGGGAUGUAAACCAAAUGCCAAUUUGUCAAUAGCAGCAGAAUAUGAUAGAUGAUAGUGGCAAAAUAAAAAACCUUAAUCACCUUUGCAUCAUGCCUCUCAAACAUUUUACCAUCAUAAGGCCGCAGAGGUUGCUUCUGCUGCGACGGCAUUGCUGCAAAAGAAAAAAACAGAAUAAGUUGGAGAAUCUACAUAUAAUCACCAUCAGCAAUCAAUCAAAAUAUAAGUACAAUAUAAUAUCUAAUUGACAAGACUGAUUCACAAACUGCACACUCGCAACUCGUAAGAAACAGAGGACAUGAAUUCCGGGUGAGUGGCAUCAUCCACAAUUAUAUACUAAUACAAUUCGGCCUCUAUUUAUGACUUUCUUCUUUGGAAGACCACAAUAUAUAAACUGAAAAUUUAUAUAUUUUCUUUAACAAAAGAAGUCUGAGUUAAAACCUCAAAGCUAGUAUUUGAUGCUUAUUCAAGCCAAAAAAUGAAGAAAUCCACUAUUACACACCCCUUCUUCUCCAUUGGUUAUGAAGACAUUGAUAGUGUAUAAAUUCACUAGGAUGCCAGUGUGAAAACCACUAUUGUCAAUGCAUGCCUGGACAUGUCUAGUAUUUUUCAUCAAAUCAAAAGCUGAUUGUACUUAAAAAAAUAUCAAACUAAAAGGUGGACAACGCCAUGUAAUUUGCACACAAGCUUGAUGUCCCUUCUGCCCUCUUUAGAAACCAAGAAGAUAAAUGCUGCCAAUAUCUAUCUUGCAAAUCCAGAAACAAGAAUGAGCCAGAUCCUACCACAGACGAAUAUUUCAAGCCACCUUAACAAAGAUGUCUGUCGAAGUUGUAGUUCACAAACAAAGAACAUAAUAAGCAAUUACAACAAUGAUAAGAGGGCCUUUAGUUUCCUAGUAUAUCUGGAUUGCAAAAAAUCCCUUAAUGAAAUAGCUUAAGCAUAUACUAGCAAUUCUUCAUCAUGAUAGCAGUAAUGAUACUCAAUCUAAAAUGAACCUUUUAUUAAUCACUUUAUUCAGGUGCAGGAUUACUGAAGAGUGCAAGUUAUAUGGGACUUUCCAGUCCAAUAUAUCUGCACUGAUUUGACCAACAUGUCGAAAGCCACACAUAUGUACAUGUACAACUAUGUAUAUGUUCACAUGCAGCAUUAUAUAUAUGCUAUAUACCUGACUGCAAAAGCAUCCAAAAACAUGCAUACCUACAUAUAUAUGUAGGAGUUCCUGUUCCUGCAUGUAUGUAUAUCACCAAGAUUUGGCAUUUGGAGAAUGACAUGAAAAAAUAAAUUAUAUAGAUGUAAAUAUCAGACCCUCAUCCAUGGCAUGGAAUGAAUGCGGCCAGAGCUAAAUGCACUACAUUGGCCUAGAAACAGGAAAAAAUGAGCAUGUUUUCUCCCAUUUGAGGUCAAGGUAAUACACCAGGAACAUUAUGCACAAGGUACCUAGAUCCAAUUACAACAAGUUGAAUUAUGAAGCCAUAUACCAGAUGAUCUAAAGGGUUAUAAAUGUUAUUCAUCAAGAUACUGCAUCUUCUCCAUACUCAUCAUCAUAUAUUUAUGUUGUCUGCAAAAAAUCCUAAAAAGUGUAUUUCCUACUGAUUGCUAAUACUGGCAAUAAAUAACUUGUAAAAGAAUUUCACUCCCUCAUGAGGCCUCUAGUGACACCCAACUUGAUAAAAAGCAACCAACAAAUACAAAGGCAGCUCAUGGACUGCACAAACAACAUCACUCACAUUUUUUCCCUGAAAACUGGGACGAGUGGAAGCCUACCCAGUAUUGGGGUGACGGCAGGGUCAAACUUAAGUCUCUUGUAUCAAUAUAAGAGCCUUUAGCAACCCCACCAGGCAUCAUCCUCUAUCACUCACAUGCUUAGGUUCGGCCGACUUCAAUAUUUUUAAUUUAAAAAACAAACUGCAAUACAUCCAGCACACCAUAGUAAACAGCAUCAAACUGAUAUCAACUUGAUCACCAUAUGAAUCUGAUAAAUGGCCUCAUAUCAUGCAUUACAGAGCAUAUAAUAAGUUAGCGGCCUAAUAGACAAAUGAAGCUGCCAACCAUCAUGUGCCACCUCACACAUAAAAGUCAUAUUGACAAGCGACUAGUAUUAAUUAUGCAAACAAAAAAAACUAAUCCCUGCAUAACAUUUUCUUCAUCUUGCACAAUAAUGUCAAUGUUGCGUUUAUCGGUCUUUGCAAAUUGUCUACCAAAUAAAAAUCUUUUAAAUGAGUAAUCAACAGUUACCGAAUACUGUCAGACUUUCUCAUAUAUUUAUUUUUUUCUAUUUUUUAAUGAAUGUUUCCAGAAAAUUUCCUCUUUUCUAAUUUAUUUCUUUCCUUUAUUUCUUGCAAAAUUAGUUUGGAAGCCUACAAACAAGAUUUCCCACCUUUUUUGCUAGAGGGGCAUAUCAGAACAUUAUCUGAAAUAUGCUUGUGCCAUAUAAGAGAGAAGACAAACUUUCACAGACAAUAAUACAAUAAUUUUACUUUUGGCUAAAACCUAAAUACAUUUUUUGACAGCUACAUGUGACACAGAGCUUAGAUUUUCGUUUCCACUAUUAAGGGGCCAUGCCUUUUACAUCAUUCUUCAAGGAGUAGAUCAAAAACUUAGAGAAAACUGCAUCCACUUAGCAACCGUAACUAGACUAACCUGAAAUCUCAAAUCCGUCCAAAACCUUAAUGCCUUUUCAUGUAGUCAUGAGUCAUAUGUACCGGUGUAACAGACUCUUGAAAAUCCAUUACAUGGAAGGUAAUAUUUUUUGUAUGGACAAGUACCUAAUAUUUUGGUUCCUGGUCAUGUCAAACUGUUUUGUUGGCAAGCAUGAACCAGUACCAAUGCUUGUGUUCUUGAAAUUGACCAUAAAAAAUCAAAAGUUAAUUAUUAAGAAGUUUUAGUUUUAUCUUGCUGAACCAUAGUAGGAAAAAUAAAUAUUUUCUAACAAAAAUCAUAAGCAACUCAAGUGACCUGAGGACUCCAACUCUCUACAUAAUAUAUUUUAUACUAAAGAAAGGCGCUCAAGAGGAUAAGACUACAACAACUUACUCAGAAAAUGCAUGCAUUAGUACAACGUGAAAAAUUUUCAAUGGCUACAAGCAAACUCCUCAGAUACUUUACAGGUUGAAAUCAAAUGUCUGAAAAGCCCAACACAUCAGAGAAUUACCAUGUCUAGUGGACAAAACGUGAUAAUCCAAUGCAGCAAAUGAUUUAGCAGAAGUCAACACAAAGUAUGUUAAGUUCAAGUCAAAAGAAUAGAAUAAUUAAACUUAAAAGGAAACAAUGACAGAGCUGCACUUAAGAGAACAGAAAUAUCUAGUGCCAGCUUCCCACUAAAGCGGACCACAUGAAAAACCCUAAGCCACAUCUAUUUGCUAGACAAAUAUUUGCUGAUCCAAUAAAAAUAUGGAACAAGCAAAAUAAUAACCUAGCCAACAACCCUUAAUCCAGAUAUCUAUGGCUGGCUUUCUAAAUUAUUUUGCACCAAUAAUUCUUCUUACCAACCACAUACACCAUGACCACACAUUUCAAAACAUUCUAGACUCCCAUUGAUAUUGACCAAUGUCUUCCCAUCCUUUUCUUGACACUUUCGACUAAAAUAUGAAAUGCAUUGCCUAAUUAGGGCUCCUCGGACUCCUCUUAAACAUUUCUAUCUCCACUGGUUCUCCACCACUUCGUUCUCAAUUGCUGUAACCCACAAUCUUCCUCUAAAGUACACAAUUGCAGUCCCCUCAUUCUUGUUUUAUCAUGGAUCCACCCUUAGGUAAAAUCCCUGGUCUGCAACUUGCUCAUCUUUUGUUCUUUUUACCAGCCAACAUCAUGAAUAACACAUUGUGGAGCAUAUUCUUGUCUUAAAUUUAACCAAAAAAGGCCAACAUCAGAGCAUACAGCAACAAUGCAACAAACAAAAAGCACCUUCUCACUUCAUCAUGCAACCAGAAUAUCUUAUAAAGCAUACUCCUAAAGACAUGUAUGUAGAUGUUUAAAUGAAAGAGAUUAAUGAAGGAAAACAAAAAAAAGGAAAGAAAGAAAGAAAGAAAGUGGAGUACCUAUCAUCCAUAUUCGCAAUUAUCCAGACAUCAGAAUUAGGCCCGAAUAGAAAACUCACGUGAAACAUGAAUAUUUGUCGAGUAAAAUAAUGUAAACUAAUAGAGAAGGCAGGACCGCAUGACUGAAGGAUCCUAAGAUAAAUCUUUUGCAAGAUGCCUAUUUAUUUUAUCCAAAAAAUAAAAGAAAAAAAUACUUGCCAAGAGCAAGACCAUAUCACUAACAAGCCUUAUUACAAAUAUUUGGGCCAACUUUAUAAAAAUUUCUUCACCAAUCAUUCUUGUUAUUAACAUAUGCCACAAUCGCCUACAAAUCAUUUCUCCAAACUUCCAUCCAUGUUGGCCAUGAUCUUUAUAUCACCUUCUUUGGCACUUCAACAAAAAUAUGAAUCACACUGCUUAUGGAAACAGUUCAUGUCCUAUACCAUCUCUACCGGUGCUCCAUCAGUUCUCUAGUGCUUGAUUUUUGGUCAUUGCAACUUGUGCACUCUCCGAAUGCAGAUUUUGAUCCUACUAGAUCUCAUUUUAUCAGAAUCUAUCUCGACAUUAAAAUCUCCAACUUGCUUUGAUUCAUUUUAUAGCCCAAAACUAUAAUAGGCUAGAUAGAAUAUUGAGGACUAAAUUCUUGUUCCAGCCAAUCUCAUGUAACAGUAAUGCAACAACCAGAACCACCUAUCCCCUCAAUCAUCUGAACAGUGCACCUUAUAGAGUGUUCUCCAAAAGACCCAUUGAUAGGAUUCUAAGUAGGAUAAUAAAAGUAGAAAUAACAGAACUACACAACUAGAUACUGUAAUUUGGUGAAAUAACUAGCAGGAGCAGGAGCCCCUUUACCGCAAUCUAUUUCUCAUGCAUAAUAUCCUCGCCCUGCAUUGGAAAAUUUUUUUUGUUACAAGAAGACCACAAGAAAUAAGGAUACAACUACUAGAAAAGCUUCCUUUGCUACUACCAUCAAAUCUAAGAGUAUUAACAGAUAAGAAACUCCAUCAUGAAUCUAGGGCAAUUACAUGUCAAUAUCAGUGAAUUGAGAUAGACAUUAAAAUGAUGUAUUAAUAUACUAGACAAUCUAAAGAAACAAACUCUUAAAAAGUAUAAACUACGGUUAUGCUUAGUUAAACAUCUAGAACAAGUUGAAGUCCAUAAGCCAAAAAAUGUUCACAAAGGAACUAGCAGUUGCAGAUCAAAGAACUCAAAGCAGCAACUACGUUACCCAUCUCUAGCCCUCAUAGAAAUCUUAAAAAGAAUUGCCCAGUAAAGCGCUUCACAAAUAGCAUAUGCUACCAUCAUAGCUAGUAUAUCUGUACCUAUAGGUGCCCCAAAAGCACCAGGCGGCAAAGGAUCGAACUCCACACCAAGAAUGGGCCCAUCCUCCCUCAGCGGCUCCCCAAGCUGCGCUUCAACAGAAGCAAUCACACGGAGCUCCGCCACUGAGAGGGGCAGCGGUUGCACCAGCGACGGAUGGGGCGGUAGCAGCCCAGGUGGAGGCUCAUGGUAUCUCUUCCCAGCAGACGAGGUGUCCAACGCGAUCCUCGAGACAGCUGCAGCAGCUCGGGAGACGGCCUUCCUUGUCUCUCCACCACUCCCAAGCCCCCCUGCAAAGGGUUUCGAGCUCAACCCCGCCCCUGCAGCCCCUGACCCCAUCAUCACAUCACCCCCAGCCGCGGCAGGCGACAGCACCGGCGGCUGCGGCUCCUCCUCCUUCCGCUGCCUCUUCGCCGGCGGGAACUUUCGGUCCUUCAGCCUCCGGUGGCAGAACCACAUCUGCAGCUGCCGAUCCGAGAGCCCGGUCUUCGCCGACAGCUCCGCCCUCAGCGCCUCCGACGGGUACGUCUCCGCUGCCCCCAAACAAAAUCAAACCAAAUUAUAACAAAAAAAAAUCCCCACCCGAUCGAUCACUAAAACCCUGGAAUAAUCGUGCAAAAAAGAAUCAAAAAGGGAUCGAUCAACUGACCGGCAUAGGUUUUCUCAAGAACCUCCAAUUGGUACGGGCUCUUCAUCUUCCUCUUCGACGGUUUCGCGUCACCGCCCCCCGGCGUCGACGCCUGCUUCUUGCCCCCCUCCGGCGGAGGCUUCCCAUCGCUGCCCUCUCCGAUCUCCAUCCGCAGCAGACCAAGCCCUAGAAAGAGAAAAGGUGGAGAUUGGAGGCGAAUAGACCGAAGCUAGGUCUUCUGUUUUUGGGCGAGGAAGAACAAGAAAUAAGAGGACGAAUUCCUUCCCCGCAUUAAUUUAUACCACGCGGAGGCCAAAAAGAGAACGAUUAGGCGUGGAAAAAACCCCAAAAGACCAAAAAAGGGCGACGAGAUGUGUGGUGAGAUUCGGCGGAGAAUAAUAGUAAUAACAAUACCGAGAAGAAUAAUAACCCCACCGAAAAAAGUGAAGAACAAUAAGAACAAACAGAGCGGAUUAGAGAGAAGGGGGAGAUAAAGAGAUGGAGAGAAGAGAACGAGGCGGAGGAGGAGAUAACUAGAAUAAAAAAAUGAAGGAAUAAAAUAGUGAUUGGAUUGAAUUCGGCGUUGGGUUUGAGGUGGAUUAAGGAGGAACAGAGAAGGAGAGCAGCGGAUUGUUCCCAUCUAUUAUCUUCGCAAGAAAAAAAAGAAAGAGAGAGGACGUUGCGUGAUGUAAUGGGUGGGGUGAUUAUUUUUCCUUUUUUGUGGGAUUUUGGGGAAAAGUAAUGAUUUAAGAGAGAGGGGCUGUAGAGAGAAUCUUGGUAAUUCGGGAUGAUUGAAGAGAGAUGGGCGAAUUUCCUUCGUUUGAGGUUUUUCUUUUGAUUGUUGGGUCUCGGGUUUGUUCUCUUUCUGCCUCUACUAUUCUUUUCCGUGAUUCUCCUCUCUUUCAACGUGAAUUCUUUUGUUGGGAUGCGUCGUCUGUACGGAGGACUAAUCCAGGCCCCUGGUUCCCGGGAGUGGAGGCUUGGAUUCGAAGGGAUGGGCCCGGGUCUGCCAUGGGCCCAUAUGAAAACGAUGGAAUCGUGGACCCGGCUUUCACGUGGCCCGGGCGGCUUUCACCUCAGCAAGUAGUGUCGAUGUUUUGGACCUAAUCUCAAGCAAAAUAAGAAAGAGUGGCAUUUAACCCAUUUAUUUCAUUCUUUUAGCAAAAUGCUCAUUUGAAUACUUGAAUUUAAAUUACUUUUCGGAAGGACAAAAUAGAUAUUUCUAAAUAAUUGGUGUACAACCUUUUAUCUUCCAAAUUUAUUUAUCCUAAUUAAGUCGAGAAUAAAAUACUUGGUCAUAUAGAGUGGAUUAAUUUAUUCCGGAGUAAAUUAUUCCGCUUCUAAAUACAACCUUAAUAUUUCAAACUUAAUUUGAUACAACUGAAUUUUCUAUUGAAAUUUCUCUAACCGAACCUAACUUCAAUUUAAGCUGAAUUUAGAUUCGAUCAAUUAGUGACGGGUUGAAUUGGGUUCCAUUUCUUUUAAGGGGGGUUAGGGAUCUAGUAGAUUGGGCUAAGUUGGUUUAUAUAAGAAUUUUAAGAUUGAAACAUGCGAGUUAUUUUUAUUUUCUCGAUAUCAGAUUGAUUAGUAUUAGUAGAGUACGUUUAUGCAGUUUUAUUGCUUGAAUUCAGUGGUUGCACAUUGCCUUAAUGGUAUUGGAUGAAGUUAAAGACAUAUUCUGGCCCAACCCAACCAAGGAACUGCUCCAUAAAUAUUAUAUAAAAUAUGGAAAGUGAAUUCUCACUGCAAGUUCCUAUGCAGUGUAUUAGUUAUAAAACAAGCUCGAAUUCCAUUAUUCCAUAUAGUUACGAACUUGCCAAUUUUGUGGUCGCCAUAUGAAGUGUGCAAUAUAAAACUUCACAACAGACCCCUAUGCAGUUUAUUAUUUAUAAUAAGGCUCAUAUUUUGUAUUUCCAUUUGGUGACUCUAGAACCAUUUCUUGGUUACUGUAUAGGUCAUGAAAAAUGAAAUUUGAUAAAGGGUCCAUCCAUAAUCGCAUUAAAUUCUGAACUUUGUGUUUGGUAUUGGUCAUUGACUAACCAUUUGGUCAUCACUAUAUUAAACAUGAAAAAAAAAAUUGAUAAUAAAUCCCUUUAUGGUACAUUGACUAUACUAGAUUUCAGAUUCAUGUGAAUAGUGAUCAUAGAAUUAUUCCAUGAAAUACAGCAAAACAAAUUUUGAAAACUAUUCCCUCCAUAAUUUAUUAUUUGUAUAAAGUCACAAAUUUUAGGUUUUAUGAUAUAACUAUAGAAUAUUAAAAAUAAAAUUUGAUAUUGAGUCUCUUCACUGUUCAUUGGUUACAUUAAGAAUCAGAUUUCAUAUUCCCAUGUAGGGACUGUACAAUUAUUUUGUGGAAAAACAUGAAAUGGAUUUUUAGUAAAAAGACUUUCCCUAUAAUUUGCAUAGAUUUGGUGCCCUCUAACUUGGUCACUUCCGGCAUAUGAGCAGCAAUGGUAGCUCUUCCAUCAUUGUCAGCUGCACUACUUCUCUUUGUGAAAUUGCUUGUGGUACUAAACACAUGUUUUCACGGAUCCUCACAUACUCUUCUCAUUCAAGCCUUGACAUUCUUGUCGGGCUAAGGGUUCAAAUCAAUUUAAAUCUAAUCACAACACCACGAUCGACCCAUGGUCAGCCCCAAUGGAUCCAUGCUGCAGUGUUUGUUAGUCGACAUAAGUCAUAGGUCGGGUCCAUUCUGAUAUCAUUUGUAAUAAGCGAGGACCUCAUCCAAAAUGGCUAGUUGGAAUGUAUUAUUUCGGUUCUUGAUCUUGUAUAAAUAUCCAAGAUUUAUCAAACAAAUAAUCGAUGUGGAAGUGGGACUAUACACACACUUGCACGAAUUCUUAUAGUAAAUAUGAUUAAUCUUCAAUAAAAAGCCAGGUGGCUCCUUUUGCCUCCCCAUCAACAUCAAAAAAAAAAAAAAAAGAAGAAGAAGAAGAAGAAGAAGUUAGACUGCUCCAAUCCAUGGCCUAUGCCGGUCUGAUCGUUUGGAUUUAGGAUUGGAGAUGUUCGACGAAAUGGGUCAAAGAGGCAUCGAGCCGAAUAAGAUCACCUAUAUCUCACUGGCGGAUGACCUAUCUAAGGGACGGCGGUAGCCGAAGGCCACGGCUAUGCUUGAUCGGAUGGUUGUGGAGUGUUGCCCACCAAAUACCAUCUCGUAUAGCUUUCCCAUCAAUGGGCUGAUGGUCUUGGAUAGGAUGAGGCUCCAGGGAAGGAAGGCAGGUGCCGGAUUUUAUGGAAGCUCAUCAAGGGAUUGUGUGAUUCUGGCCAGUUUCAGGAGGCUACAGACUACUUGGACGAAAUGGUGCUUAGUGGGAUUUCGCCAAACCAUGUGAGAUGAAGUCUCCAUGCCAGAUUUCAUAAAAUGGUGGUUGCGGGGCUGUGCGCAAAGAGCCAAUCAACCCGGUUUUUUCAGGUAUAUCAGAGCAUGAGAACUUGGAGAAUUUCUACCGAGCCAGAGAAAUUCCAUUUUCUAGUGGAGUGUUUCGGCAAGAAGGGUGAUGUGCACAAAGCUGCACGAAUUGCUAGUGAGAUGCUGCUCCGUACCUAAUCAGGACACAGAGGAGCAACCUGGUUAUUGGAUACUGGGAAUGGAGAAGGUCCAGGAAGCAGCUGAAGUUCUACGGGGUCAGCUGGUUGUGGAUUAGUCUCUCAGGUCCACAGGAGCAAUCUGAGCCUGUAUUGUGCCCACCAUGGAGGCUGUGAUGCUUCCCACCAGGAAAAGUUUUGGAUUUUUAAGCCAUCUGGUCAUUAUAUCUGAAUUCAUAUCGCAUGACGCGGACGGCAAAAGGUGUGACAUCUUGGAUUUCUAUUUCAUGAUUGAAGUUUGAUCCUUAUGCAAGAAAAUUUGUUAGAUCAUAUGUUAGAUGACAAUUUGCUGUCAGGAAUCCACUAAACUGUGACCAUCUUCAGGAUCCCCAUGCCUACUUCAAGGUAUAUCAUUCUAUGGCUUCACAUCUCUUGUGAUAUCAUAAUUCCUUUGCAUCUAGAUUCUAGACACAUGGCCCUUUACCUUAAAAUUUCUUUAAAUAUUAGUAGAUAUGAUCAUUAAUAAUUAUUUUAGCUUUACAUUAUCCACUAACAAGGGGAUAGUGCAAUCAGAUUGUUAAGGAAAUGUUAUUAUUUCAUACCUUUUAGUGAUUUCUACUUUGCAGAAUGAGUAUAUAAAGCUCCUUUUGUGAAUAUAAAAGAUUUUUUUUUUGUGGGGUGGUGAUGGGACGGUUUAUACGUUAUUACUGUAACUAAACAAAUCUUUAAAAAAAUGUCAUAACUUAUAGAAGCGGCAUGCUAACAUGAUUUACAUGCAACAAUCUACGUUUGAUGAUAGCAAAACGAAAUAUCUAUCCAGAAGUCAUAUUAAUACUAGGAAAUUAGGAUUCUGAGCACCCAAGAUUGUUUAAGAUUCAUUGAGAUGCAAUGUUACAUGCUAGAUCACUUAAACACAGCUACCUGUCUUUACCGACUUCUUGGAUUUUAUUAUUUUAAUUUAGGAAAUUCAUUAUAUGUUCCAUCUAGAUGCUCGAGGAAUGAAGAUCCCUAAGAUCCCUAGACUACUUAGAACGCGUGGAUAUAUGGCAAGUUGGAUUGGAUAUGUUUUAAGCACAUCAAGAUCCUUUGAAGGAUUCAUAUAUGAGUUACGCCAAAUGACAAAUUUUAUGGGAACUUGAUGUAGUUUUUGAUUUUUGAGAUCUCAAUGACUUUUCUGGAUAGAUACUAGGGUGUUUUUUUCUUCAUUCCUAAAUCUCUUUCCUUAUGUUUUUGAAAGUAUGCAUUUUCGACUUGUAUUUAAAAACAAAUCACAUCUGUUACUUUUCUGAUGCUAAUUCUUUAUAUUACAUUCACCUUCAGUCGUGUGCUAUUAGGGACAUUAAGGUUUUCUGGUGGAAUAUGUGGAGUUACAAUAACUUAAAGAAUUCGCAGAUCUUCUCAUUUAAGAGCAAGCAGGAUGUAUCGAAAUCUAUGUAUGAAGAAUGAGGAUUAGGAUAGGCAGCAAGUUUAAGUGAGUCUAGGCAAGGCUUGACUAUUAGGAGCAAUGCCUACUGUAAAAAUUUCAACUUUCACUAAAAAAAGGUCAUAAUAUGUGGAUAGAUAUCUCUCUAGUGGCCAAGGUUGUCAUGGUAGUCAGUGGAUUGUAGGCAUUAGGGACCCGUCUGCACUUUCUUGGUGCCUUAGGCAGUUAGGCUGUUUGUGCCGGAUUAAACAAAGUUUAAAGUCAAAAGAGAAAAUGAGCAACCAUUUAGUUCUUUCAGUGAAAAAAUAAUUGGGGCAAGAAACAGGAAAGGAAAAAGAAAAAAGAGAAAAAAGGAAGACAAAUAAGAAAAGGAUAAAUUUGAAAGUAAGGGAACAAGGGAAUAGCCAUACAAGUUUAAUUGCAAAAAUGUAGAAAAGAGGGGAAGACCAAGAGGAGUAGUAUUUUCGAGAAGAGAAAAAAGAGAAAGGAGAAAGAGAUAGCAGGAUAUGAAGAGAGGAAGCAGGCAAGAAAAGUAAGAAGAGGAAGAAAAUACUCAUCCUGGCCAAUGAGCUCUUUGAUGAUAUCACCGAAGACAUGUCAUUGUUCCUAGUCAUUUUUUCCGCUUCUAAUUGGCUAUGCAUGCAUUCCUUCACAUACAGCUAAUUUUAGGUUCUUUAACACAUUUAGCUCUUUAUCUAUAGAUUCAUGGUUCCCCAUAUCGAAUGUAGUCCUAUGACCAUAGAUAACUUAAUAGUGCUAUUGCCUUAGAUCAAGAUACUUCCUAACUGUAGAACCCAUCAACAUCAGCCUUAUGGAUUUUCGAAGCAGCGCCUGCCUGCAAAUAACUUGUAGAGAGAUUCCUCUCUUUGCUGUUAUCUGUAAUUUUGUGUAUUUCUUUGCCAUAAUGUUCUGGCAUCUGAACUUGGUAUUGGAAUUCUGUUACCUUUGUUGAUACUCACCUUAGUUGCAUUUUUCUAAGAUGUAAUGCAGAAAAGAACCUAAUGGAUGGUUACAUAAUCUGGCUGCAAAAGAGAAGGUGAAGACCACAACCUGAAAUCUUGGACUGCCAACUAUGAUUGACAAGUCUUUUCUUUCUCAGGCCGAUUUUCAUCAAAUGGAAAAGUCAACAUAUAUAGGUGUACAUUUUUGUAACUUUCUGGAAUGUUUUUUGCAAUGCUUUAAAAAAUAGCAUGCUUCCUGAGAAUAUAUACUUUAAAAAAUGCCAAUCCAUUUAAAAAAUGCACGAGCAAUUUGCCACAUUUUUGCCACAUUCUAUGAAUUUGCGAUAUACUUACCAUGCAAAAGUAAAAGAAAAAUAUACUGACUGGGCAAUUUUGUUAAAGACAUUCUUCUGAACUUUUCUUAAUUUAUUGCAUGGGAUACCUGAUUUGCUGCAACUUAAUUUCAUAAUAUCUAUUAAUAUCGUUUUGGAUUAUCAAAAGAAAGAAUAAACUGAAUACUCUUCUCAGAGUAAAUCAUGGAAGUUCCAUUACCAAGAAGACAUAAUGUCCAACAAGUAGAUUUUCAGAAUGCUUCUUCAUAACUUCUCUACCACUACCAGCUGUCUUUAAACAGUAAAUGUAUGAACACAGUGCUGUUUGCUAUGUUAAAUUAUACAUCCUACUCUCCAUAAGGGCUUUCAUAAUGGAUGACUGCACUUGCAGCAAAAGAACACGGAAGAACAGAGAGUUGGAACAACUGACAUCACUGGGAAGAGAGUGGAAAGCCGAUUCCAUGGCGCCUGGUGGGGAAAGCAACAAAAAGCAUACUGCCAAAAAUUCCGAUACCGAUCGGCAGUGAAGCGAGAACCUGCUUCAUCUCCUCAGAUGGGGUUGGAUAAAGGCAUGACACCACAUUCCGGUCAAGCAAAGAAACCGCUACAAAAACCAGUAUCGACAUGAAUGCAUGGACAAAAUCUAUGAGCUUAAUCCUGUAGUUAACUGCAACCUGUGGAGGAAGGGGUGCAGUUCCGUCAAUGACCCACAAGCCCCUGAAUGUUGCCAGCCCAUGCCGAACCUUGCCAGACUCGUCCCGGAAGCUAUCCGUGAAGCUCAGGAUGAAGCAUGACAGUCCACAGAGAGCCACGAGGCCUGCGGUCAUAUUCCAGCUUUUGGCAUUGCAGCGGCCUUGGUUGGUGAAGAUGGGAGACAGGAGCUGGAAGGCAAGAACAGUGCCAGUAGGUAGGAGGUUUGCAAGAUGGGCGGUGCUCUUGAAGGUUUUUCUGAUUGCUUUCCGUUUAGGAGUCUUGCGGUCGCUGUUGGAUGAUUUUGGGAUCAAGAGAGGUUCCUCCUGCUGCUGCUGAGCUUCUUUAUCACACAUGUUUUCUUCCAUCAUCGCAUAUCUUUUCUGCACUCUUCACCACGCAUCUGCAACAUGCAGGGAAGGAAAGGGAAAUGAGAGGAGGAUGAAGGGUGGUGGAAGGGAGGAUGUGUUUGUACGUAAUAUGGCUCGCGAGGAAGAGGAAGCGAAACUGAAAUGGAUGAGAAGCAAACGUUUUACAAGAAUCGUGGAGGGGUUUUGGUUACUUGUUUGAGGUGGCCAUAAAUUUUCCCAUAACAAUUGCUUAUUUUGAGUAAUGGCCUUUGUGACAUGGGUAACAGAAAUCCAGAGAAAAAUGCCGGAGAAAGAGGCCUCUACUCGUUCCAGUUUGUUUCGGACGCUGUUGCCAGAAUAUCCGCAAGAUAACUAGAUAAGGGACACACGUAUUUCAGGCAAGAGAGCUAGCGGGUUUUAUAUUAAUGGCUUUAUAAGAUUGCAGGCCGAAGGCAUUGGCGAUUACUUAUGCCUAUCUUCACCUGAAGCCCUUCAGGUGAUGGUACAUUAUUUUAUGGUGCACGUAAAUAUUAAUUUGUGCCAUUCUUUGAUCAUCAUCUAUUCGAUUGGUUGUGUUCCGGCUAAUAUGCAUUAAUUGGCUUGUAACUCAUGAAAGCUAUAUACGUUACACUAUUUGAUCAAUUUAAUAGGUGAUUCAAGUAAUUGCGGACUUUAGGGGCUGUCUCAUGGCUGUUAUGGACAACUUCUAAUAAGUGAUUUGGCUUUAGGGGCCUUCUUCUAAACCCUAGCUACCUGCUUGCCCAUCGCCAGCCAGUGCCGGCUCGAGCCUUAGGCGACCGAGGCGGUCGCCUAAGGCCCCCGGCCGAGGGAAGGCCCCCACCGACGGCCACUUUUUUUUUAUUGUUUAAUUAGGGUGGGUGAUGGACGAGUAGACGACGGAUGUGAAAGGAUAGGGGGCUUGGGGCUGGGCAGUGGGCAGUGGCGAUGGCAUCUGGCAGACGGCUGAGACGGGGAGGGGACUGGGCGAUGGCUACCGAGCUCCGCCCGUACGCCGCUACACGGCUACAGUGCGUCCCUUCGGCGUCUUCCCGAUUUUAAGCUCGGCUCUCAGUCCUCUCCAGCUCUCCUCGCCGGCUCGCCGACGUCGCCGUCCUCGGCUCCUCGGCCUCCUCCCGUCCUCCGGCCUCCUCGGGCCUCGGCUCCGCUCGACCGCUCGGACGGUCCGCUCCACGGUCCACCAUCUCCUCCUCCUCUGCUUUCGUUCGUGCUGCCUGCAGCCUGCCUGCCUCCUCCUCGGCUCCGAGGUCCGAGCUCCGGCCUCCUCAGCUUCAGCCUCCGGCCUCCCGUCCUCUCCUCUCCAGCUCUCCUCGCCGAGUCGCCAUCCUCGGCUAGUCGGCUCCUCCGGCCUCCGGGCUCCGCGGCGACCGAGGCCUCCCGGCUCCCGACUCUCGACUCCCGACUUCCGACCUCCGACUUCCGGCCCCCGGGCUCCGCGGCGACCGAGGCCUCCCGGCUCUUCUCGUCGUCCUCGGCAGUCGGCUCAUCCGGCUCCGAGUCUUCGACUUCCUCCCGGCCCAGGGAAGGCCCCCACCCACCGACCCACGAUCACGGGUCGGUUGACUCGGUUCCCAGAGGCCACAGUCCCACUCCCACUUCCCAAGUUCCCAGUUGGCCAGUUCCCACUGAUCCCAUUCCCAGGCACCGACAGUGAGGCAGGACUGACAGGUGAGUUAGUUACUUAGUUUAUUAAUUAAUUUUUGGUCCAAUUAAUUUUUAUUUAGUUAAGUAAUUAAUUUAGAAUUGGUUAUUUUUUGGUCCAAUUGUAGAUUGGUUGUGACUUCAGCAGUUCGGCGCUAUUCGGUCUCUUCUCGUCGUCCAGUUCGGCACUAUUAAUUCCACCUCUUCUCGACACAAUUAAGUUCGGCACUACUUGUCGGAGCCCGAGUUUGUUUUUCUUGACACAAUUAAGUUUUAUCAUUUUUAACUUUUUUAUAUUUUGAUUUGUUUGUGGUGUUUUUUUAAUUGUUUAGUUUGAUAAUAUUAUUUAUAGAUUAAAAUGUCUAAUAGAAAAUAUGACUGUGGGUAUGAAAAACUCAAAAAAAAAAGAAAAAUUGAUAAACUCAUUCAAUCUCAAAAAGGAGCUCUAGAUAGAUUUGUUGUUACAAACAAACAUAACACUACAUCAAAUUCAACUCAAGAAUUAGCAAUAGAUAGUAUUUUAAUGGAUCUUGAGUAUAAAAGUUUAAUUAGUAAUUUUGCUUCUCAAAAAGCUAGACGAAUUAUUUUUAAAUAAAAAUUUUAAAAUAUUUUUAUAUUUAUUUUAAAAAAUUUUAUUUAAAUAAUAAUAAAAAAGGUCUCUUCUAAUGAGUUCGCCUAAGGCUCCCAAAUGUAUUGGGCCGCCCCUGUCGCCAGCCACUGGGUCUUCUGUAUCUCAACGUAGUUCUAUCAUAGUUCUGAGUAGGCUAUGCGCCCUGUCUCUAUCGGUCUAUCCAUACGACUCUGUAAUUGGCUGGGGCUUUCCUUGCACCAUCAAUAAAACUGCCUCUUUCACCCCACCCCCCAAACCCAAGAAGAAGGAAGAAGAAGAUAUGAAGCUGAAGAUCUUGGGGUGUAUGACCAAAUAAAAGGGCCACAGCCACCACAAGAAAAAAAACUUUUUAAGACCUUUACCGACACUUAUAAAGGUCGAUAAAGAGCUUUCCAAAGUUUUCUAAAGCGUCGCUUAUGUAAGAGUAGAAAAAAAUAAUUGCCGACGCUUUUAAAAAGUAUCGACGCUUUUAGAAGCGUCGGCAUUCUUUGUUGUUAAAAAAAGUUUACCGACGCUUCUAUCUAGCAUCAGUAAUAUAGAGUCGACAAUUAUAGUUUUUGUUGUAGUGAACCUUGGUGGCCUCCUCUUUGUCAUGUGUGAGAUAAAUCGGAAAUAAAUAAUCCGAAUGUACUGGGUUAACCUUCAAAAUUUGAUAUUUAAAACAGCAGCAGGCCAAUUGCAGCACUAAUUCAUGAAUAAAUCAUGAACAAAAUUUAUUGAUAGAUAGAUGAUAUGAAAAAUGAUUCAGCAGUUAUGAAGAUUAUUUCCUAGCUGGUCAUCAAUUCUCUGGUGACCAUGGUUUGCACUGCCAUAAUAAUUAAUUAUAUGGCUCCUCAUUAACGACUCAUUUGGUUCGCGAAAAAGGAAGAGAAAGAAAGUGUGCAACUGAAAAAAAUGAAUAAAGACCUCUUGUUUGGUUAGAAUUUUUAAAGAAGAAAAAUGAAAAUGUAGCAUUCUAAUGAGAAUAAGAUUUUCAUAUUUUAUAAAAAAGAAAAAACUCAUGAGGGACAUAAAAAAACUAUUUUUCUGCUAGUUAAAAAUUGAGAUUUUUUUUAUAAAAAAAAUACUCUUCAGCCAUAAAAAUUUAUAAAUUAGGUCUUUUUCUGUAUUAAGGAUAUAUUAGAUAUUUUACACAAUUUUCUCCGUAAAGUAAAUAAUGAACUAAAUAUGAAUCUACCACUUUUUUAAGAUCAAUCAGAUAUAUUAAAAUUAUUUUUUCAUACAUCAUAUUUUUAAAAAUCAAAUUUUUUUAAAAAAAUAUUUUUUUCCCCGAAUCAAACAAGUUUUGAGUUGCCCAACUUCCACGUCCUGUCGUUUUAUGCUUGGCCUCCAGAAGCUCUCCAACAAAGUCGCCGUUCAGUGGGUUGGUGCACCAAUUAAUCCACCAUUACUCAUAGACAAAGUCCUCUCGCUACCUUCCAUCCUAAACAAAAAGCUUAUGACCACGUUGGUUAUAACAAACCAGAAUAAAAAGCUCUAAUCGGAAGCUCAACCCCCCUCACCAAAUCGUACACAAAUUCAUCAUCUUUUACCCAACAGAAAAGCUUCGUCUUCCUACUUCUUUUAUGGAGACAUAUCCCCGCCCCCCAUUGUUUUUUUAUCAAAAAACAAGAAAAAGAGAAGAAUGCUACCAUGAGUGAUCACCAUAUCUCCGCCAUCGGCCAAGACUUCCUUGUUGUUAUCAUCUGCAUCGCUCUCCUCAUCCUCUCUGCCAUCCUAUUCAUCCUCUGCAAGAAGCGCCAUGCUGUCGACCCCGACGACACCAGCCUUCCUGCUGCAUUGCACGCCCACUCCCAUCCACUGAGCGAUAUCGAGGCCGCCACCGACGGAUUUCAUCUGUCCCAAAUCGUUGGCAAAGGCCACCUUGGGACUGUCUACAAGGCUAUCUCAGCGACAGGCGACGUCUUCGCCGUGAAACGCAUCCACCCCCACCUUGUCCUCGGCAACCCCGGCGUCAGCUUCUCCUCGAGGAUCAGGUCGCUCUCCUUUGCCAACCAUCCUAACGUCGUCCCCAUCGUAGGCUUCUCCGAGGCACCGGGCGAGCGGGUCAUCAUCUCCGAGUUUGUGGGCAUGAAGAGCCUCGAAUACUACCUGCAUGGGAUGACCGGCGACGGCGGGCCGCCACCAGAGGCGUUAAACUGGGGGCUUCGGCUAAGGAUUGCGGCAGGGGCAGCGCGGGGCCUCGAGCACCUUCACGAGGGGAGUGCACCUAGCGUCGUGCAUGGGUGCAUUAAGCCUAGCAACGUCAUGAUCGACGCCAACUUUGGUGCUAGGGUUUGUGACUAUGGGCUCACUUUCUUGAUGGGGCCUAGCGAGAGAAGGGGGAUGUUGGGGUAUGUGGAUGAUGGGGAGGGGUGGGGUGUGUGCAAGGAGAAUGAUGUGUAUGGAUUUGGGGUGGUGUUACUGGAACUGUUGAGUGGCAGGAGGAGCGAAGGGGGGGUGAUGGUUGAGUGGGCUUUGCCUUUGAUAAGGGAAGGAAAGGUGGGGGAGGUGUUGGAGAAGAGAGUAGGGGUGCCGAUGGACAUGAAGCCAUUGGCAAGGAUGGCGAAGGUGGCCUCGGCGUGCGUUGGUAAUGGGAGGAAGAGUCGGCCUUCGAUGUCUCAUGUGGCGGCCAUUUUGAGCAGCUUGGAAAUGCAUCCUUAUGUCUAAAGGGUUUGGGAGAUUUUUGAGGGAAUAGAGAAAAAUGACCAUGGCCUGAUAUCCUCUCUUCUUUUUUGGGGGGCUGAACCAGAGUGAGACGGCCAUCGAAGGUAAGUCCUCCCAUCAUUUCCUGAAUGACUGAAAUUUGUGGAAAUCCAGUGUACUGUAACCAUGGUUAGGGAAUGUGAAUUAUAAACAUGCAGCCAUUUUUUUCAUGCUAAAAACAGGUAGCUAGACUAAACUAUUUUAGAUGAAACGGACUGAAAUUUUGCAUCAAUAACUCUCGUAAUGUUUAUUUGAGCCUGUCCCAUCCCGACCUUUGCCUAAUAUCUCAUGCUUAAGUCCGGCUCUAGAAUGCCUUCUAAAGUCUGGCGGUCAGUACUGGUUUUAGUUGUUAUUUUUUCUCCAUUUUUAGGUGAUGUCUCAGAUUAUUAAAAUUGAUCAUUUGUAGGAUGACUGGGAUUUUCCAAACAACCACGAAUCGUGUUAUAAAGUAAUUGUCCCAGGCCAGGAGGAUUAAAAUAGGUCUUUACUAAACUAAUGUAUAUAUGAGCCUGGGCCAUUGGUUAAGCCCUAUGGCCCAUGCCCAAGUUUGGGCUAGAUUAUUCAUGGGCCGUCUAUAUUGGUCCAGCUAGCUUGUAACUCCUACUAGGGCAUGAAGCAAAUCAAGUCAAGAUCCUUAGGCACAGAUUAACCAUUUAGAUUGACCAUGAGCAGGUUGCGAAGACAGUCACGGAACCCAACCAUCUGCAAUUAAGACCUACUACUUAUGAUCAUGAUCUUUGCAUGACUAGGUUUGGACUGUGGGCCGAGGGGUUCCAACCAUCUAGCAUGGGUUCCAUUUAGCCCUGAAAAUUGGCCCAAUCUUUGUGUCACAUAGCGACAACAAAAUGGAGAUGUACAAUGGCCGCUUUGAGAUCUAUGCAAGUGGGUGAACGAAGAAGUUUGGAGUGCUUUUAGAUCCAUGCAAAGCAUAAUCCGAUAGACAAUAUCAUGAAAGAAGAAAUUAUUCUUUCAUGUGAAAGAUACAACCCAAACCCAUUGUCGCAAGAAUUUUGGUUAGCAGCCAAUUUGUUGCUAAAAAGAAAAGGUCACAUAUCCUAAAGCGCUUCUAUCUUUUGUCCUUUUUCUUUUUAUUUGAUAGCAUGUUAUCUCUAUUAAAUUUCUUUUGCUCGUGAUCAUCACGGGAAUAGAUGCACAAAACCUGGCAUCAAAGAGUCCUUCAUGAUUGACUGCCCUAAAGCGCUUCUUUUAAGUUUUCACUGCAUCUUUACGUGCAAUUGCCAAAUCUCCUUUAGGUAUUGUCGCAUUGACACGCUACUGAUCAUCCUUCUAAAAAAGACAUUGGCACACUAGUCGCUUAUGUUAGCGGACAGGAUUUGAAUGUGUGCAAAGAAAUAUGACAAAAGAACAUAAUUAAGCUAUUGUGACGACUAGAACAUAUAAUAUGUAUCCUUCAAGAUUCAAACUAUGAUCUCAGUUUCUGGAGGUACAUGCAAAAAGAAAGCAGGAGAUUGAAGACUAAGCAAAGGAGCCAAUGCGAUGAGGGGGAUGGAGAUGUAACCAUAACUAAUGCUUUUGGUCAGAAUUCUCUUCCUCAAUUUCCAUAGGGCUUGUUCAUUCCUAUUGUGAAGCAAUCAGUUCAGUGGCCGCAAAUGAAUUGGAUGUGUCCUUCGAACCAAAAUAUAUGAACCCAAGAAAUGAUUUGAUUAUUCCGAUUUAUUUCCAUUAAGUCAAGGUUGUUGCAAAUAAAACAAGGAAUUUACAAUUUUGGGGUUUUGUUUUGGUAUAACUAAUCAUAGCCCUUGAAGGCUCGAAUCAAAAUCAUUGUAUCCCAAUUUACAUCUUCCCAAUUGAAGCAACACUGUUUCAAUUUAUCUUUCAAUCUGCCCUAGCUAAUGCUUGAUGAAAAAAUUCAUGAUCUUUUCUAAAAAUUUUGCCCAUCUCGUCCCAUAGUUCUAACUCCAACAAAAUUUUUUGAUAUUGUUUUGUCUCGAAAGCUGCUUUACAAAUAUGUGCAGGUGAAAAUCACCCAAAUACAGUGCACUUUGCAAAUAGGUUUCUCGCACUCCUCAAAUUGACUUUGCUAAAAAAUUCUGACUGUUUUUCACUUGCUUUGAUAGAUUUUUUAUUUUUAAUUUUAAAAAUAUGAUGGAAAUGCCACCUAUCAUGUUCUAGCACAGAACAUCUCUCCAACAGGGCUAGCUCCUUUAAUGUGUUUGCUUUGAUUUUUAUCUAAACAUAUGUUGCUUAGACGAAACAAUUAGUAUAACCUUGCCCUAUGACAAUCCACCAAAAUUUUUCUCUUUAUUUUUGUAGCGAAUUAGAUAACCAUCCAAGCAACUAAAUAAGAUCAUAAAAUUCGAUUACUAUUUUUGAUAAAAGCAGUCACUAAACUCAAAUUUUCAAGAAUCCACCAUUUUCUAACUUGACCUAAAGACUUAAUUGCACAUCAGAAUCUAUAUAUGGAUAAUGGGACAUGGUACGACUUAUUUAAAUUUUUUUAAAAAAAAUCUUAACAGGCAAAGUUGGCUUUAACAUGACAACUCAUGAAGCUCUCCCUGUCUUAGAGAAAACUAAGCAACACCAUCAUUUAUUUUAGGUGAUUUUGUACUUUUUUUCCUUUUUUUGCAAUUGUCAAACUUAUAGAUAUAGGUCAACUUUCUUCUCUUUCUUUCUUUUUUUUUUUUAGAUUCUGACUUUCUUGGACCACUAUACAAAUUUGUCUUUUUUGGUAGAAAAUUUUCCUAGCUUGGUUGAUGCCCACAUAUUGUGAAUACAUGUAAACAUGAUAUAGGUUGAUCCACAAUGGCAAAUGUGAAAAGCAGUAUAAAGGCAAGGAUAUAAUGGCCUGCUAAAAUUCAAAAAAGGAUAGUUUCUUCUUUUUUUAAAAAAAGAGAGAAAAGAUGCUUUCCUUUUCUGUAUAUUGGAUUAUUAAAUAUAUUUUUUGCUGAAUUCCUUCUAUUUUAUACAAGUAAACGUAGAAGACAUCUUGUAUCACGGUCGCAAACAAGGGAAUGUGGCCCCACUUUAGCAUGCUUCUUCCCCCAGAAAAAGCCAUCGCACUCCCAUCUCACCAGAUGCCCGAAGUCACGAAUGGAUGCAAAACCAAUUGCACCGUUAAACUUUAACAAUCCAGUCCGGUUCCUACACCUGUCCUUAUCCCCUUCUUCUCGUCCAACCAAUACACAGCCUUGCCCCCAUCUAAGUAUCUAACCCCGGUCAAACCUUCUUCUUCCAAUCAAGCUCACACCUGAUUCUCCCACACAAGUCUCCAACCACGAGCCAUGCCUUGUGGGAUUCAAACUUGUCGGCAUGGCUUGCAUGACAAGCCACAACACACAUUGAACCUCACGAAACUAAUAAAGAGAAAGAAGAACAGAAAUAAUUCUUAUCAUUAAUAACUAGGAAGUCCGAUUCAGCCCCGCCUUCUUUGAUAGCAAAAAUCUCAAAUAUUCUCCAUAGUAAUGGUUUUUGGUUGCACGUACUGCAGCAACUAUCUAGUCUAUCGAAAGCUAAAUUGAAUCAAAGACCAGUCUGAUAUGAAGCUGAACUUAACUCCUAACUAUCAGCCGGGUGCGAUCCUCUCCUCAUCAUAUUGCCUAUUGUUUCAUCUACCUACCAUUUCAUCCCUAUCUCCAUUGACUCUCAUAUAUAUACUUUUCUCACAUAUUUAAUAAAUUAGAUGGCUCAGCCUCCCCUUACCUCAAAAAAAAAGAAAAAGAGAGGGAUCAGAGAUUUAUAUCAUGUAUAAAGAUAGAUAACAAAGAGUGCAAUAUAUUAAGGUUAUAGAGAGAUCAGGUUAGUGGCUAUAUGUCUUCCAAGGCACUCUACAGUGACCUUGGAGCUACAAGGCUCACCUUCUCUCUCUCUCUCUCUCGGUCUCAUCCAUCUAACCAUCUCUCUCAGGGUGGUGAAAUGUCUCUUACGAAGCAGGUUGCCCCAUCUCUACUCAAGCCAUUCUUUCUGUUGGUUUUUUAACUUAUUAAAGAUUUUGAAAGGAAAAAGAAAAAAAGUGUGCUAGAGAGGUUACAUGUCUCCUCCUGCACGUAUAAUAGCAAUUAUAGCAUGACCAUACUUGAGGAUGAAGCAACCUAUUUAUAUUAGCCGGGCUUGUUCUGUCUUUUUCUUUUUUUUCUUUAUAUUCUUGGUUUUGUUAGAUGGUUGGAGGGGUAUUAGGAGGGGGUUUUCUUGUCUUCUGUUUUCUCUCCACCUGAACACCCUGGGGAAUGAUGAGCAAAAGUGGAGAAGAAUUCUAUUCCUUCCCAAAGCUCAAGGAGAAUUGAGGGAGGGGUUGGGGAAGAGAGGACACCCGUAGCUUUAAUAUAUAAGAGAGAGACAGGCUUCUUUCUUCUUUUCCUUUUCCAUUCUUUUCUUUUCUUUUAUCCUUUUCUUUCCCUCCCCAGUCUUUACGUAUCCCUCUUCUCCGUCCUCUUGCCUGCCCUCCAAGGAGAGGUUUUAAGCUGGGUGGGUAUGAGAGUUGAGGAAGAAAGAUGAGAUGGUGCAACAGCUGCGACGAUGAUCGCAUGAUCGAGAGGAGCUCGGGUUCUUCGUCUGCACCGAUCGGCAAGAAAUGUCACGCAAACGCGAUCGAGACCUGCCCUUCUUGUGGCCACCACAUCCAAUACGAGGAGCAGGUGAGGCUGCCUUUCUCCUUUCUUCUCAAGAAUUCCAUAUUUUUUUCCGAAUAUUUUCUCCAUAAAUUUGUUGCAUGGUGGUGACACGUAUCAUGAUUCAUGUCUCUUCUGUUCAUAAAUUAUAUUAGGGUAUUCAUGGAAUCUUAUGAUAUCUUCUUGUUUCUCAAAUUAAAUAAAUUAAAAAAGGAUUCUCUUUUUUUGAUGAAAAAAAAGAAGAAUUAUGUUAUUUAAAAACAUGGAGGAACAAGAAAACAACAUAUAUAUGAUGAGUGAUAUUGGCAAUGGAUGUGGUCAGGCUGCGGCUGCUGCCAUCCAAGAUUUGCCUGGGCUGCCUGCUGGUGUCAAGUUCGAUCCGACCGACCAGGAGCUUCUCGAGCACUUGGAGGGGAAGGCGAGGCCAGAUUCACAAAAGCUUCACCCUCUCAUCGACGAGUUUAUUCCUACAAUUGAAGGCGAGAAUGGGAUUUGCUAUACCCACCCAGAGAAACUCCCCGGUAAUGAUCUCGAAAUAAUUCUUUAAAAUCUCUUGGCCUACGAUUUCAUAUAGUAAUUAUUAUAUUAGUCAUAUUUUUACGAUAUGAAUACUGCUAUUCAUCUUCAUGCAUGCUUCAACAAGCUCGCGCGUACGUGCUUGAGCACUGCUGCAUGCUAUAUACAAAGGGAAUAAUUUAUUGCACACUAGCUUUGCCAUGUGUGAUAACAUCAUACCAAUGAAUUGGUGCCAAAAAUGCAUUGUGGAGCACUCGAAAUCUAGAAGCCGAAAAUUUGGUCCUGAUUCACAAAAUAAGAUUAAUUAUGUUCUGCGUUUGAGAAGUCUUCAAAGAUAAUCAUGUUUUUCAUGAUGAUGAUGAAUAGCAGAAGAAGAAAUUUUUGCAUUUAUCGUUCUCAAAAUUCUGUGAAAUAGCAUAAAAGAUGUGAGCCUUCAAUUUAAAGGCCUAUGAUAUACUUUAGCACCAGAGCAUAACUAUGGUAGUUGUUGCGUGGAAGCAAUAAAUUAAUUUUCAGCAUGCUAUGAAUUCAUAGGACUUGCAUGCAUAAAUUGGAUAGCUAGAAUUCCAAGCCAUCAGGAACCAUAUUUUCUUAUCAUAGAAAUAUUAGACAUUAGGGUUGCUUUGAGUUUCAUAAAAGAAUAUAACGGAACUAUAUUCUUCUUGGUUUUAAAAAUCAUAUUUUUCAAAUUAUAUGAAGUAUUUUGAGCAAUAAGUUGCAUGAUGCAUAAGCUAACCAAAAUGGAUUUUGUAUAUUGGGCUUUUUCUAAUGGUCACAGCUCUCUCUCUUUCUCUCUCUCCCCUCUUAGAAGCCAAAGGUUUCAUAUUUGAGUUUUAGUAUGUGUAUCUUCAAAAAUUUGGACCUCGAUAAUUUUAGGGCGAGUAGAUUUCUCUCUCUUUCUCUAAAAGAUAAAAAUAAACACUUCAAAAGGCUCGGUUGUUGAUGUGUUAAGCCAUGUACAUGAAAAUUAUCAGCUAGGCUGGUCUUCAU
rnacentral:lncRNA from 1 species